rnacentral:lncRNA from 1 species
UAAUUACAUCGUUAUUUUAACAUCUCUGUCAUUUAAUUUAAAUACACAUUUCAAUUUAAACAAAUCAAAAAGUGAUAUUAUUUUUUAAAUUUUAAAUUAUUUAUAAGAGCGCAAUUAAUAUGAAGAACAUAGAAUUACUAAUUCUAAAAUUGUUUUUAUAAUGAAUUUUUCUCAUAUUUAGCUAUGAUAAAAUCAUAAGUUAAUCUGGUUUGAAAUAAGAAUAAUUUGAAAAUAAAAAGAUUAUUUUACUAAUAUCAAAAUAAUUAAUCGUGAAGCAACUAACAUCUCAAUAUUUUUUUCGUUCAUUUUUACUUGUCACUUAUAUUAAGAAGGAAAAGUGCCCUUAUAAACUAAAAUUUCAGAGAUACACUUAACUCAACUUUUUUAUUUUUAAAUAACUUUUUGCCCCUUUUUAGCUUACGUGACAUCUAAAUAUCUUUCACGUGCUUCAAUCGGGUGGAGUCACGUGUGUGCCACGUAAGACAAAAGAUGUACAAAAUUACAAAAAAAAAGUAAGUUCAGGAGGAAUAGGACCUUAGUUUAGUUAACGUGUGUCUCUGAAAUUUCAGUUUUAGAACGAUACUUGUGUAUUAUCUCUAUUUAAAAUAAAUUUUUAUUUUUACUUAUCACAUUUUUAAUUAAUCGCGAAAUAACUUGUUACGUAUUUGUAUUGUGUCCUUAUGUACUUGUAUUUUUUGUUUAAAUUGAUUUCAAAAAAGAAAAUCUAUCUGUCAAAAUCAUAACCCCACAGAAAAUGCCCCCGGCGACCCCUCAAUCCACCGCCGCCACCACCGCCACCAUCGCCACCAUCGCCGCCGCCGCUUCUACCGCCAAUCACCGCCCAGGAACCUCCAAUUCUAACCUAAACCCUAACAAAAUUGACCUGAAAAACCCUUACAAUUUCAACAGAGCAACCAAUUCGCGUCUCCUUUCUGUUGAUACCGAUAUGCCCGACCCGAAUUCCUCGACCGUGAAUGCUGCCGGCCGUCCCUCUUCUUCGAAUGCCUUGAUCAAAAUCGACGGAUGGGAGGAGGAUGCUGUUCUGUCCCGUUCCAAGCAUUUGCAUCGAGUGGAAGUUUACAAAAGGAGGAAUCGACGGGGUAAGCAACUCCAGCGUAUAUACAGAGAUUGUUACUGGUCGUUAAUGGAGGAAGUCAAGCUCAAGCAUAGAGAGUAUUGCUGGAAGUUUGGAAUGAGUGCUUUUCAGGAAGAUGAGGAUAAGAAUAAUAAGGAUGGUACUGCAGGAACUGGAGAGAACAACGGGAAUGCGGUUACCAGUAAUACUUGUGGGGUUCAUGGCUGUAAGUCGAAGGCGAUGGCGCUUACGAGGUUCUGUCACAUGCAUAUAUUGUCAGAUUCCAAGCAGAAGCUGUACAAGGCUUGCAGUUUUGCCAUCAAAAGGUAUUUUUCUUUUCUUCACAUUUCAUACAUUUAUGUCUUAGUAAUUUACACAGUCCUAAGCUUUAUGAAGAAAUAUCUCUUUUCAUAUGUCUGUUACUCUCUAUUCGAUACGAUUAUCCUGCCUUAGAAUAUCCAGGACUACAUGUUAUUACCCUUGCUAUUAGGUUAUCCUGAUUCCUGAGUAUAGUUACUAUGCAAAAUCUGCUGACAGUGGAAAAGGUAGUAUCUUGUGUGGGUAUGCACGCGUGAACUAUCUUGCUUGGAGGUGUGAUUUGUGUCUCAAAGAUGCGUCCUUUCUGAAUUGUUUCUGAAGCAGAAUGCAUAUGCUUGCGCCCGAUUCGUUUGUUGUUGGUAUAAAGCUGGUUAUUUUGCUAAUGUAUAACAAAAAUAUCUCAUCUUUUUUCCUCAAAAGGAACUUUGCCAAGUAGCAUCAAGUUCUUGUUCUUCUUUUUUUCUUUUCCUAUUUUGUUAAGGUUCUUUAGUUUUCUGUAAUCUUUUGUAUGGAUUUCCUGAUAAAUUUUACCCUCGUGCCACAAUUGCUCUUGCACUUAGCAAGCAGUACAUGUGUGUGUGACAGAGUAUGGUUCUGGAAGGCUGUAAGCUAAAGUAAAAGCAGUAUAGGCAGUUGGAUUCACUUAUGUUCUGAUAUCAUUUACGUAUAAAAUUAGGUCGUAUGGUGUGUGUCACAUCAUUUUAAUGUUUAAUGAUCAUUGGACUUCACUUCCUCAGCAACUGCUUUUUUUUGAAUUGUACCCUGCAACUGUUAAACUUUCUAACCUCAUGGUAUAGUGCCUGUGGGAUCUAGUUCUGAUUCCUACAGUAUAUCUUUUCCUGCUCUUCAGAAUUAUGUAACGACCUUCUUGUUAUUCAUUUUGUUCCUGCCCAUGUACGCUUAAACCUUCCCCAAGAUAUUAACCAUCAAUAUUUCCGCCAAGUUCAAUGCCUAAACCUGGCUUUGUAAUGAGUCCUAAAAGGUGCUGUAAUCCCCGUGCUUGGUAGUAAGUAAAGAAGAGACUUCCAAUUGUGAUGAUUGUUAUUUUUUAUUAAUUAAGAAAUCUGUUGUUUCCAGCUCCUAAGCUUAGUGGAUAAUGACUCUUCCUCUGUCCUCCUCUGCUUAAAUGCAAAACUUUGUUAACUAGCCAACAUUUGAAUCCCCCAAGUACAUCUAAGAGACAUUCUGCUGUGUGCUACCUCUGCUGUUGAACCAAAAACCCAGUAGGACUUUUUCUGUUUCAUGUACUACCAUUUAUCCAAAAAUAGAACUUUCUCCCAGUGAGAAGUCAUUUGACUUUCCAAUUGAGAAAUCUAGUUACCAGUUCAUAUCCGCUAAUCAUCACCAUAGUUAUAACUAUAUGGAUGCACCUUUUUCUCAAAAUAAAAAUUGUACAUAUGUACCUAAUACAUCUUAUCUUAUCCUCCCUCUACUUCUAUUUCCUUCCCCUUCUUCAUUCAAGCUGGAUUUUAGUUUUUUCAACUCGUUUUUCCCAAUUCCUCUGCUCUUUGGGGUAGAAACUGGCUUGCCAGGCCCCUUCUUAUCUAGUUGUGAUUUCUUCUCAUCCAUCUUCAUCAACAAUUCUAUGGUUUCUUUUUCAAACCCUUCGAAAGCCACCCCGUAUGUAUUACUCAACUCUAAGAUAUGUGAAUUAACCCAGUUUAUUGUUUCUGUCUUGAUGUCUUCUUGAAAUUGGGAGCUGAAUAUUGAUUGGUUCAGCUUCAGGAAUCUGUUGUAACUGCAUUUUUUGUUCUGUCUCUUGUGUGUCAUUGACUAUUAUGGCAUAACAUUCCUCUCCUUCCUUGUUGUGGUCAAUAUUUCUGUGACUUUGUAUCAGGAAUCUUUGUCUGGGUGUUUAAGAGGUUUCUUUCUCCCCCUUCCUUUUUCAUAAUCAUAGUAUCCUCCACCUAAACUGCUAUUUCACAGUUCCUGAAAGCUUGUAGAAACUUUGAUGCCAAGUCCGUAUAUUCUAAAAAACCUUUAUUCCCCUCCAUGUGCCUCUCACUAUGAAGUUCUUGGGCUUUUUAACAUUCCCAGCUGGGCUUGGGUUUUUUAGAGGUUGAGUAGGUUUUAGGCCUGGAUUUAAAUUGAGCAAAGGCUAACCUAUAUUUGUCCAUGGAGUUGGACCCAUAGUGGGGCCUGAAUCUAGAAUGUUUGCUGGCUCCCCACGUGGUUUCUUACUGACAUCUCCACCUGCCCUUGUAUUAACCUCUGGGUAGAUCUUCGAAGUCGGUUGGGUAAAAGGUUUUUCCUUCUUUCUUCCCCAACGGAGUACCUUGCCAUCGUCUCUGUCCAUAGCUGCACGGAGUAUGAGAUUCCAGCAUUCAACACAGUCACCUCCUUCGGAGUCCUCGACUCAGCGCCUUGAACUUUAAUUCUAGCCCAUUUAAGGUGAUUUCUUAGUUGCGUCUCUUCCUCAGUUUCGAUCCGACCCCCACAGAAACUAACUUCUCUUUUUGGUGCGUGGUUUUCCAUCGUCUGGCAUCUCCUUUCUUUUGUCUACUGUGUAUCCCUUUCUCAUUAUUCUUUUGAUUAUAGUAGUUGGGUAAAAUAUCUGGCCCGGGCUGACAUUUAGUUCUUUUAACAAAAGAAGGAACUUGGCGCAGGUCAUUUCCUACUUGGAAAACAUGUAGCCUGUCAUGAUUUUUGAGUUCUGGCCAGUACUUUGAAAUGUUUCAGGUCCGUUUGAGGUGGUCUAUAUGUGUUAAUUCUACUGAUUUUGUCAAUUGCUUCUUGCCUGCUGCACUCCUGUCCCACACCCGUCAAUGUUUAUGCAAAUCCUAGUGUUUGUUCCGGUGGUAUUACUGUAACUGUCUUUUAGAACUCCUAUAUUCUCAACUUUAAGAAGUCUCUACAAUUAUUUUGUUUGCUCGGAAUCUAGUCUAUGAAAAUUCACAUUAUUAAGUUGUGGUUGCAUAGAAUAGGUUUUCACAAAGACUUACCACUAUAUUUCCUUAUCUUAAUUGUUUCUUUUUCCAAAAUAGAUUGUCAUGAAGUUAUGACAUUUUACGAUAUUAAAACCAAAAAAAAACCAUGGUAAACUUUUGAGUUCACCGAUCUGAUUUGUGCUUUCAUGAAGGAUAACGUAAAAAAAUCUUAUUAAAAACAGAGAACUUACAUAUACAAAUAGUAUAUGUAAUUCUCAAAAGAGAGGCUACAUAAAAUAUAAUUCUCUUUGGAAAAAACACAGAAUCUUCUGCCCUAAUAGCAACCUUGUGGGUGCACCAAAUGCUUAACUUAAAAUAAAAUUCUACUUUUCGAAUGUACAAGUCAUUCUAGCCUCCAGAGCUUAACGCUUAAAGUGUGGGUUAGACACAUCAUAGAUCCAAACCCUCUCAUAGAAAAUCCCUGUUAUUUAAGUUGGGAAGUGUAGAGGCGACUUCAUACUCCCACAGUUUUGAACCCGUGUGUCAAGUGGAGUUGGAUAGAAGUCACGAGAGAUUUCUCCGAUGUAUAAAAAAGUCUUUGAAGUUAUUCUUUGUUCUUUAGAAAGUUCUGUUUCUCUCCCUUCAUAGACCACUCGAGAGCUAGAUGAGCAUCUUCUCAUGACCUACAUCUUUUCCUUCUUCUGAAGGCCGAGCUUUAUAGUACAUAUUCACUUUGCCCAACAUUGUCCACUGUACUCCAAACCAGUGUACAUUACACAUACCACAUUGGGCUUGCCACGCGACAAUGCAACAGAAGUUGGUCCACAUCUUCACCCAAGCAUUUGGACACAAAGCACUGCCUAACAUGUGAGCCUCCUCUUUCUCAAGUUCUCAGCUGUCUGUGUUGUUAACCUUUCUAACAGCCAAGAUAACACAUGCUAAGAAUCCAGAUCCAUAAGUGCAGGAAGUGCAGUUGAGUACAAUCCACCUCUCCUCAAACCCAACUUGAUGAGUGCUGGCUAGCAUAUGUUGUCUUCUGCUUGUUGAGAAUUUCAAUUGAAAUUUGUCUACCUCUCAGCCUUGUAGGUUCUUCUGAGCAUCAAGAUACCGAUGUACUCGUCCAUUUUGUGUCCUACAUAUCUACUCAAGACAUCUGAUCUCUCUCGCUCAAUACUUUAUAUAUGUUGUAGAAAAUGGUUUACAGGGUGUUUUAUUCAACUACUUGUGACCCCAAAAACUUAUAAAAUCCGAUUCUGCUGUCAUACCGUUUGCUUAGCACUGCCACUUGAGUCUUUGCACCCCGGGAUGUUUCUUCAUAGUGUACGACUGUGAGGAUUAGUGUUUCUCCAUAGUCCUCCACCGAAGAGUUACAUGAUGUUUCAUGUCCUCCAUGACUCAUUCAUGUCUCAAUACUUUAAAGCUAUUCACAACCCUCCAUAAAGCCUGCUCUUUGCCUUGAAUCUCCAUAAUUUCCUAGCAGUGCUUUGUUGUAUAUCCUCAGGUCUUUCAAUCAAGUCUCUGAAUGUUCUCAAUUCUUUGUGAACUUUUGAGUACCCCAGCGCCUUCAGUUGUCAUUUAAACUUCUUUUUAGGUUGAAGUGAACCCCUCACAAUUAUCUCAUACUUCUCACAAAAAAAAAGUGAAGUACCUGAUCGUCAUCACUCUUGCUGAACUUACCAGACGACUCCUUAAACUAUUAUUCAACUUUUUGAACUUCAGAUUUUCCUCAAUAUUGUCAGUAUGUACUAUGUGGUAUGUCUCUCAUUAUGCUUUCAUCGUCUUGCUCUUCUAAAUAGUUCUUAUUGCACUUGGAACAGGAUAACUGACUGGAGACUCUGUCUUCUCUGUUUUCCCCAUCCAUACUUCAGUGCAAUGCAGGAUGAGAAUCCAGACAGCCAUUUUGAAACUAAAUAAUUCCUUUGUAUAGAUAUAUGCAGCAGGAAUCUAAUGCUUUAGAGUCAUGAUUAGGUGUAGAAGUACUCAUUGCACUUGCUAGCUUCUGUAGUUGGAAGACUAUUAGAUUCGCUUUCUAAAAUCAAAUCCAAGUGACAGGUGUAAACAUGAAGAAUCAUACUAAACUUUACAUUGUACAAGCAAUGGUAUUUACUAUAAAGCUGGAGCUAGGCCUGUAACAGUGUUCUCUCUCUCCUUCAAUACGUAGACCACUGUGGGUGAGUGGCCUGUUGUUGGGUUGCUUGCAUUGAGGCAAGGUGCUUCAGUGUGUUAGUCUUGUUACUAUGGGUGACCGACAUAAUCUAUUUGCUGAGCUGGCUCUUAAUUGUGUGGUGUCUGCUGGCUGGUAAGUUGGUCCAUCAGUGGGGCACUGGUGUUAAUGGUGGGGGCACAGGUACAUUAGGAACAUGUGGUGCUCUAAUGUUUUGGUUGCUUGCACACUGAAGCACAGCUGAAGGUGCACUUGUGUUGUGAUUCAUGGAGUAUAACAGCUGUGACAGUCCUCUUUUCUUGUAUAUAGUCUUUACGUGUAAUGUAUAUUCUGUGCUUCACAUGGUUUAGUUUUGGCAUCCAGUUCCAUGAGCAGCCUUUUCAUUCAAAUUGUUUGUUCUUCUCCUGGUAGCUAACUUGCAAUGUUUUGCUGUAAUCACUAUCUGCAUGUGGAUGCAUUCUUGUUUCUCUCAUUUCAUAGAAGUAACAACUGAUGCUGAGAUUUUUCAUGAGUUCAGAUCUUGUGAAUUCUAAUCGUAAAGCAUUAGGAGAUAUCUUAUUACUAGUUAGAGAGUUAAGAUAGUAUUACUUAUCGAUCAAAGCUUCAUUGCUUUAUUUUGCAGUUCGCCAACAGGGCCCAUACUUUGUGGGAAGCCAAUAUUAAGGUCUGCAGUUCCUUCCUACUGCUCUCUUCAUUCUCAGAAGGCUGAAAAGCACGUGGCACGGGCUUUAAAGAAAGCAGGACUUAAUGCCUCUAACCCAAGUAAAAUAGUCCCCAAGUUUCAUGUUAUAGUUGCGGAAUGUGUUAGCCAGAUCCAAAACAGAAGAAGAGCUGCACAAAAAGCAACUCUAGAGAUGGCCGAGGUGAAAGAGGAGAGCAGCUGUUAAUGCCCGAGCAUCACGUAAAACUGAAGCCUGUAUAUUUUCUUGGCAAGUUGGUGAUGCAACUAUAACAAAGUAUAUUUGGUUAAAUAGGAUUUUGUGUGGGAAGAAGACAGGAGUUAUGACUUGGAAGAAAAAAGCUUGUAUGUAAAGAAGGGUACUGCAAACUAACCAAAUAUCGUCUAAUAUUGUUGAGCUACAUUUGUUCAUUAUGUUGGUGUUCUUGUUUGUGAAUCAUGCAAUGUUGUGGAAAAUUAUGUAACAAGAAACAUACAACAAUUUCAGUUGUAUUUUAAACUCAAUAUUUUUGUUAAAAAUAAAGUUCAUUUUUGAACCUGACAUCUGCUAAUGGUUGCUGCAAUUCUUGCUGCACUGUUUGUAUUUUUUGCUCACAGAAAGAAUUUGUUAUUGUGUAUGCCUUUAUCUUUAUGGAUACAGAGAAGAAGCCUUUUCAUCUAUUUAAAAAGAUCGGAUCGAGCUCAUCGCACCGAGCUUGUCUAGUGCCUGUUACCUCUCAUGUGUGGUUUGCGAGCUAUUGCAUAGGAGCGGGGAUUUUAACCUGUAUAGUGGUUAAAAUAAUAUUUACUUAUAUAUAGUAAAUAUUGAACCUUUAUGUUUUUUCGUAAUAGUGAAAAUUUUAGCUUUGAUACUAAAACGCGUCUUAUUCAGUACUAUUCUUAUAUACUCUACCAAACGACCAACCGGUUUAACCUCAAGCAAUUGGAGUUUAGCACUUUCAGCCAACAGCAUAAAACGUAAAUUUCUAUAAAUUCAUAAAAACUUAGCAUUUCUUGAUUCGAGGCAAACUAAGGAAUCUCUUAAUUAACAAUUACGCCAAAUCAUACACUAAUUGUUAAAUUUUUUCUAUAUAAACACUGAACUAAUUAAUGUUAUUGAAGCAAACACAACAUCAACAGAAGUGGUUAAUUUCAUUUUAUUUUUUCCAUCAUCACACACUUUUAUUAUACAAUUGCCAACUUAUAAUUAGUUAAACCAUGGCAAAAGAAGUAGUACUGACAUCUAUGACUUUGUUGUUGUUGAUGAUUUUGGGACUUAGUUACCUUCACAUUACUACUGCAGCAACCAAUGGCAAGGGCUACGACAACGACAAUGACAAUAUUGAUAGUGGCAGUGGCAAUAGAGGUAACAACAAUGGCAAUAGUAAUAGUGGCAGUGGCAAUAGCAAUAGCUGCAACAACAAUGGCAAUAGUGGCAGUGGCAAUAGCGGCAACAACAAUGGCAAUAGUGGCAGUGGCAGUGGCAGUGGCAAUAGCGGCAACAACAAUGGCAAUAGUGGCAGUGGCAGUGGCAGUGGCAAUAGCGGCAACAACAAUGGCAAUAGUGAUAGUGGACGUGGCAAUAGCAAUAGCGGCAACAACAAUGGCAAUAGUGGCAGUGGCAAUAGCGGCAACAACAAUGACAAUAGUAAUAGUGGACGUGGCAAUAGCAAUAGCGGCAACAACAAUGGCAAUAGUGGCAGUGGCAAUAGCGGCAACAACAAUGGCAAUAGUGGCAAUGGCAAUAGUAAUAGUGGACGUGGCAAUAGCAAUAGCGGCAAAAACAAUGGCAAUAGUGGCAGUGGCAGUAGCAAUAGCGGCAACAACAAUGGCAAUAGUGGCAAUGACAAUGGGACUGGCAAACAAAAUGGCAACAGUGGCGUUGGCGCUGGCAAUGGCAAGGGUAAUGGAUAUGUACAAGUAUUUCCAGCAAGAAACGAGCAUGAAAUAGAGAAACUAACGAAUUUGUUGAGCGGAGCAGGAAUGCGUGCAAGGCUACAAACUAGUUGUUCUUGCUAUAAUUGUGGUACUUAUCAAUGUUAUUGCAGAGGUUGUAGCUCAGAAAUGUGCUGCAUAUGAUAGAAAAAGAAAAGUUUAGAACAAGACGUAUCGAUGAUCGCAUGAAAGGAAAAUAAAGUGGAAGAAACACCACCCUCUUCGUAUUUGAAUGAAUAAAAUCAUAUAUGUAAGCUUUGGAAAUGUGUCAUGCAUUUAUUGAUUCGAUGUGAACCUCGAGUAAGGGUAAAGUAACUUGUACUUUUUCUAAGAGUGUUGUAACUUGUAUUCCUAAGAUUUGAAACUAUGUGCUUUUUAGUAGAAAUGGACCUUGGAUAUCGACGAAGCUAGGAUUUUUAAUAAGGGGAUUCAAAGUUUGAAGAACUAAACUUACGAACUAAUCGAAGGGGGUUUAACAUCUACUGUAUAUAGAUAAAAAAUAAUUUACGGCUGGCUCUGCCCCUCACCUUGGAUAUAACUCUAUGUCAAAGUGUUGAUACCGUGAUAAGGAAAUAGACUAUGGCUGACUCAAUCACAAAAGCUAGCUCAUGAGGUGAGAAUUACCUAAAUUCUUAUAUCCGCGGAGGACCCAAGAUUUUCACACGAAGAAGCUAAAUUUAACACGUAUUGUAUAUGCAUAAAACAAAAAUUGACCUCGUAUGUACAAUGUAAUUUUCUAGGGAAGGAGGUUUAGACGAACCCCCUAGAUCUAGUAGUGCAUCGUCUACAAACAAACUCAUAAAUGGAGAGAUCUGAAGGCAUCAAUCACACAAAAGAUGCAUCGCGCGCACAAGAUGCAUUAUUAGGCUAACCUGAAGCAAGAGCUAUAUGGAUGUUUCAGCAGUAGGCUGUGACUAAUUCAUACGACUCACGAGUCGAGACUCUGGAGUAGGCUGCAGCUGCAAGAAGAUACUUGUCGAAUCAUUGGGAUCGACAUAACUGCAAAAUAAGAAAGAAAGACUUUUGAAACUUAUGGUCUAAAACCUGUCUUAGAAUGUUAUAUGGGCUAUAAAUCAUCUCGUUAAGGGUAAACGGAAAGUUUAUUUCUAAAUAUAGAAAUGUCUCGUUCUUUUUGGGGCAAAUUAGAAAGGAGACAGCGACACAUAAAUUGGGAUAAAUUGGGACAGAGGGAGUAAUUUCAUUGUGAAAAAGGCAAGAAACAUGACAUACGCAUAUCUUGUCAUCUCAUCGACUGGUGUUUUGGUUGCUUCAUGAAGACGAUCUACACGAUGCUUUGCCCUUGACCGUCUGUAACGCUGUCUCACUUUUCCAAUUAACUCGAAAACUAAUGGAAUGAAAGCCUCACAAUCACAUUCCUUGAACAUAAUUUUAAACGAAUGAGGUAUUAUGCUGUUUUCGUUAUCAUUAGCUGGUAUAACCUGCAAUAGGCUAAAAUAAGUCAUCUGAAGCAAGGUUUGAUAUAUAGUUCAUGAAUAAAUAAAUCAAUCUAUCUAUUAUACAGAUACUUACCGGGUUUACGUAUCCAGAAAUGUUUUUGCAGAAGAAUAUUGGUUGAUUUAAUUUUUCGCCAUGAACAAAAAGCUGCAGAAUGAAGUAGAUUUAGGUCAGCCGGAGCAAUUUUAUCGGUUUGUAAAUGUUGUUUCUUAUCCCACUCAACACAAAAACUCAUGAUUUGGUAGCAAACUACUCUCUCCAUUUCAAUUUGUUUGUCUUACUUUCCUUUAUACGCAUUCCAAAUGUGUUUUUUACUUUCUUAAACUCCGUGUCAAGUCAAAACCAGACAAACAAAUUGAAACAAAGAAUGAAUUGAACGAAAUGUUUGAGCUAUCUCACAUCACAUCAAGGUAGUCAUCGAAGUGCAACGAUACCAAACAUAGAAAAGAAAAGGCGGAAGCUUUACUAGUGGUUUAAGCACAAAAACGAAAUAAAGCGUGAGUUUUAGUGACAAAAAGCAUGAUUGAAGGGAAUGAUAAAAGAUACUAUAUACGUAGCAAAAACCAAACAACAAUUGUUCAGUGUUGCUCUCUUCGAGACAGAGCAUAUGGCCGAUGAGAUGCAGAACUUAUCGCCUUGUGCCCUAUACUGCAGCUAGCUUCAGGGCUUAGCGGCCUUCAACCACACUGUUCAAGUCUAAUUUAGUUACCCCAACACACAAUAAAAUAGACAACAAAUGCAGGAAUUCAACGUAGGCGAUAUUGCUUAGCUAGAAGUAACCAACAAUAACAUACCAAGUGUAUAGUCUCAUAAGUGGGGUUUGGGGAGGGUAGAGUGUAUGCAGACGGCAGACCUUACCCCUAACCUGGGAGGUAGAGUGAUUGUUUCCGAUAGACCCUUGACUCAAGAAAAAGCAUAUCAAAACAUGUUAGGAAAUGAAAUAAACGGAAUUGAAGAAACCAUGGCACAAUACUACAGAAAGCAAGACAAAACAUACAUAAAAAGGACAGAAAGUAACAGAUAGUAACAAAAAUCGAAGGGCAAGAAACUACAGCAGAAAUACUACGACUACUAGUAAGGAAGGAUAAACAAGACCACGCUAGCUAGAACUAACCGGACAACAGAAUAUCAGAUCGAAGCAUGUUCACAGUCGAGAAAACUCAAAUGUUUUAGUAUCUCUGGAACCUUUUUUUAAGAUUCUGUACAACAACUUGAAAAUAUAAGUCCCAUAAGACUAUAAACAAAAGAGGGCAUAUUGUUAUCCUGGAACCUAAAGACAUCAGCCUCGCGUGCUGCAAUUUUAUCGGAUAAAUUCAAAUAAAUAUAAACAAGAAAUGAAUCCAACAAACAACGACAUGGAUUUGGAGCAGAAACCAUUUCUUCCACAUGAUUCAUAAAGCGUAUAUUUCCUACAGAAUCAGGCAAUCGGAAGCAAGAAGGACGAGCAUUACAUACCAAGGGAAUGUCAAAAGCAUUGAAGUUGUUCGUAGGAUUCUUUGCAACAAAGACCAUCCGGAUAUUCGAUAAGUAAAUGGUUCCUUUUGCUUGUACUUCACCUAAACUGCAACAGCAAAAUAUUCAUAAUUUAUGUCAAUGCAGAUAUCAUUAACUUGGUUUAAAAUCCCAAAAUAUAAGGAAAAAAAAGAAGAAAGAAGAGACCAUAGCCCGAGAAGGCGAUGCACAAAUAACGAUGAACUUCCCAAAGUUCAAUACAGUGACCCAGCCACUCCAUCCACACUCAAUAAACUCAAUGCAUUAAGCAAGCUCAACAAUACAAAUACAUGCUUCAUGUCCAUGCCAACUCAACUAAUUCCACGUGCUACUUGUUACCUCCCACCAGCACCCAUCCAAACUCAUAAUAAGAGGUCUUUGCUAAGAUUUGAUGCUAACACGUCAUGUUUCUCAGCUCAACUCAUUAAUCACUAUGCCAUAAUACCAUGUAAAAUUAACUCUUAUGCCUAACUCACACUCAGCGUCGGAGCUAGAAUUUUUAAUAAUAGGUUCAAAAUUUGAAGAACUAAACACCCAAACUAACCAAAGGUUGUUCGACAUCUACUAUUAUAGAUAAAAUAUAAUUUAAAACCAUAUAUAAAUAAUAAUAUUUUCUCAAAAAAGGAGGUUUGCAUGAACCCCUAAUAGUAUGGUAGCUCCGCCCCCUCUCCCUCUAGACCCUUUGGUGCACACAGAGUAAAACACCGGUGUUAUGCAAUAGCUCGCAAACCGAGAGGUAACCCACACUAAGCAAGUCCAGUGCAAUGAGCUCGACCCAGAAGGCAAACCCAGCUUGAAACCUCCAACAUGAAAAUCCCAAAUCCAAACCACUUGACCACCCCGAAGGGUAUUAUUCAUCAUAAUCUCGUAAAUUACACUACUUACAAAGUUAAUAAAAAAAAUUUCCCAAGAUCUGAAAUUACAAAAUGGAAAAAAAAUAAUGCAAAUAAAGAAGAAUAAAUAGGUACCUAGGAAUGUUAUCGAUCUGAAAUUCAAUUCCAUCGCUAGCUAAGACAAACAAUUCAUCGAUAAAUGGAACUGGCAUUCCAUGAACAAAUAAUUUAGGAUUUAAUGACAUUUUCGAGUACCAAAAAUAAAAAAACAAAAUAUUUGAUUGAAUUAACAAUUUAAUUUAUCAUGGCCUUUUUUUUUGGGAUUAUAUUUUGAAAAUUUCAAAUUCCGUGUAUUUAUGGGUUAUUCUUAAACGUGUUUAUCGCGUGUUAAGCUUUAUACCCAAUACUAAGUUGUUUGACGGAGUAUAUAAGAAUAAUUCGAGUGUAUUUAUUUUUAAAAUACGUUAAAUGAAUAUCAAAUCAAAAAGAUAUUUUUUAUUAGUUAUUGGUAGGGCUAUUCAUGGUUAUGGUUAACAAUCAAAUUAAAUCGCAUUUCGAACCAAUCGAUUUUAAAAAAUCGAUCUUUGGUUUAGUUUAGUUUGGUUUGGUUUUACUAAAAAACAACCGCAAAAAUAACUAAAUUGAACCGAUAAAUUAGAUAUAUAGAUUUUAUAAUUAUUUAUAUAUUAUUCAUAAAUAAAUUUAAAAUAUUUUGUUAAAUUUUAAUCAACUUAAGUCGUUAACUUUAUCAUUUUUUCAAGUCCAACACUUUAGCCCAAGUAUAACAAUCUCAAAUCCAAGUCCAUUAAAAUUUAUUUUUGUCUUUACCUACGGUACUUCACAUAAAAUAGUAACACUUUCUAUUAAAUGAAUCACUUUGUUCUUAUUAUGAUAACUCUAAUAUUGCUUAAUUGCUUAACUAAACCAACAUUAGCUUUUCUGUAGAUUGUUCAUGUACUUGGUAUAAUAAGGAAAAGCAAUUUCAUUUAUUUUGAUAUUAUAUUCAUCAAAAUAAUAUUCAAAUAUUAUAUUUAUACACUAUCAACAAAUUAAAGUUAUUCACCUUCGUAAAUAAAGUCAAAGAACACUAUAUAAUUAAUUAAGUCUAACCGUGUUGCGAUGUCGAUAAUACAAUAAAAAAAACCAAUAUUAGGGAAGACUUAUGGUAUAUACUUAUAGUUUUAUAAUCUCUAAUCUAAUGUUUAAGUAUUAACAAUAAUUUUUAAUUAAGUUAACGUUGAAUUGUGUUAACUUUCUAAACUAAUCUUAUCUACUUCUCCAUUGAUCUUUGUGUAAUUAUUGUUUGUUUCUUUCUAUUUCGUGAGGGUGUGUUUGGUACGGAGGAAUAUUUGUUAAAUUUUUGGUUGACUAAAAUAAAAAUUUUGAAAAAAAAAAAUUAAUAGAAAAGACAAGUUCCGUACGCGAUUUUAUUAAUGCAGUGCUUUGAAAUAUUCUGAUAUCUUAUUUAUGAACUACAAUUGCUCGUUUGCUAAAAUUAUGUAAGAAUUAGAGAAAACCUUCAUGGUUUUCAUGAUCAAGAUUUAAGAGAGGAAAAAAUACAAUUUAAAAAAAAAAUCAAAUCCAAACAAAACUUCAAACUUCAUAUCGAUCUAAUUUCAUAAAACAUUGCAUCUUUAAACGGGUCUUAAUAUAAGUUUGAAAAAAUUACAUAAAUUAAUACAUUUUAAAAAAUAAUUGCUGAUUUUAGCGAUACUUUUUGUUUGUUAUCAUUUAUAGCAAUAUUGUGAUAAAUCUAUAAUAUGUAUCAAACGUGAAUUAUGUAUGCAAUAUAUUUUAAUUAUAAUUGUUUUUUAAAUAUAUUAUGUUUGUUUGAUAAAAAAUUGUCACAUUGCAUUAUAAGUGUAUUAAAAUGUGUGAUAAAUGUAUUAUCCAUAUUAAAACUUGUACUGUAUUUGAAUAAUAAAUUUGUCUUUGUACUAUGUAUUAAACUCAUAUUACAAAUAAAUUAAAAGCGGUCAAGUGAAAAAAAAAAUACUAUUGCUAUAAAUGGUAAAUAUUUUUUUAUUAUAGUAUAUUCACGUAAGUUUCCUAUUAAGGCCCGUUUGGCCAUAAAUUUUCCAAAUAAUAUUUGGGAAAAAUUUGGCAAAUAAUGUUUGUCCAUACAAUUUGCCAUUAUUUGGCAAAUAUUUUUGGCAAAUAUCCCAAAUUUCCAAAUACUAGUUUUUUCUAGUAUUUGGGCCAAAUUUCAUUAUUUGGGAUAUUUUCAAAAUUAAAAUUUUACCUCAAUCUUUUAUCUUUUACAAAAACACUCUCUCUAGUAGUUGUUUACGUUGUAUUACAUUAUUUUUUACGUGAACACCAAAAUAGUGAUGAAAUAUGUAGUGAAUAUUAAAUAAUGAUAUGAUUGUUGAUGAAAAUUAUUAAAAAUUGGCUUUAGGUAACAAAGUCAUGUACUUUGUCUACUUCACGAUGUAUGGAAUAAUUCUUGUUGCACUCGCUCCAAAUUACCACAUUGUUUUAGUGUCAUAGACAUUAUUUGUUAUUGUUGUAACGAACAUUCAUUGACUUGUAAUACAAACUUUUAGUUAAUUUUGAUAUUUUUUAAAACUUGUGUGUAUAAAUCAUAUUUUUCUAAAAAGGUGAAAUAUAUUUCCCAAAUUUUAUGGCCAAACACAUGGUGAAAUUUCACCCAAAUUUUCACUCAAAUAAUAUUUGCCAAGAAUAUUUGGAAAUCUAUGGCCAAACGCUAGCUAAGUUUUUUACUUUAAAUAAUGCUAAGGGGAGUGGCAAAUGGAUCCAUACAUUCACCAUCCAACUAAUCCAAAUGGGCUGUUUUGGGCAGAGCCCAUAUUUACUUGUAAAAUUUGAUUAGCCCAAACACAACCCAUUGACAUCAAAGGCGUAACGAUGUGACGGAGAUAGGCUCGGUGACAUAGACGUGUCUAUGAAGACGCAAGCUACCUGCACCCGGACAAAAAGACCCUCUAAACUCUAAAGCUUUACCGUUCCGUGGGAUUGGCUAUAUGGGUCUUUCAUGCGUAGCUUAGAUAUAAAAGGCGAGCACCUCAGCUAUUCCACCAAGUAUGUGCCUACCAAUAAACACAAAUACCAAAUAACUUUGCCCACCGAGGCUUAGAGAAGAUUACCAUAUGACAAGCCCUUAAAAUUGUGAAACUAAAUGCAAUUGCACAAAGGAGCUUCAACAAUAUAUAGUGGCGGAGCCAUACUGACCGAAGGGUGGUCAGUUAAACAUCCUCCGUCAGAAAAUUAUAUUGUAUAUGUAGGUCAAAAAUUACUCUUUAUACAUAUAUAUUAGGAACAAGCUUGACAAAAUUAGUAGCUUCACCACGACUGUAUAACGAUUGCACCAUAAAGAAUGAUGCAAAAGAUAUCGCAGCUUAGAAGACAUAGCCAAAAGGAAUCCAUAUUCAGUAUUAUCAACCAACAUAUUUCCGAUAUCAACACUGAACGAUUACCUUUCCACAUGGCAAAGAAUCUAGGGGUGAAGAAAGCUAUCGCAUGUGGAGUCCAAAACUGCACUACUUUUGGAGGAUCCAACACGCACUCAGUGACAUCUUUGAAGAGUCCGAGCAACAUAGUUGGACUGUAUGUCUAGAAGCCUUCUUCUGAAAAUAGUAUCAAACAAGAAAUUUACAACCUAAAGAUCUCUUGGAUUUUCUGCAAAUAGUGUCGACAAGAGAACCUUUAAAGGAAAGAAAAAGAAAACACUCUGCAGCAUCUUAUACAAGGUAACCAAUCUAAGAAAACAGCAUCAUGACGAAGACCAAAGUAAAUAUUUCCUGCCUGCACAUAGAAAAUCUUUUUAAACAAACUAGGUGUUAGCAAUUCAUUCUUUUUCUCUUCAUUUUCGAAGUCUGAUUACCACACAGAUGUUCGGUAUCCUCUUAAAUUCUAAACUUCCAAAAAAGGAAUUAUCAAAGCUCGGAGAAUUUAACAAUCACAAACAUCUGCUUAACUAUAUAAAAAUAUGUAAGGUUAGUUUACCCCCUUAAAAAGGAUAUUACCUGCUGAAAUCUUCGUGGUAGUUGAAAAGGGUUCUCCACAAGUCCAGAUGAUGCCAGGCUAGAGAGUUCAAUUUGAUCUUCUUUCACCAAUUCAUUUCAGAACCUAAGCAAUUUUUCUUCGGAAGCAUAAGAAUUCAAUCAACCAAAACAUCAAAUUUGUAACCUUUAGUAAGGAAUAGGUAAAACCUGCAAAUCCAUGCGAGUCCUCUAAACAUCAGCCCAUCUUCAAGCCAAGGAAUCUUUUACAAUCAGUAAACAGACAUAAUGUACAUGUUAUCGACAAUAUACGCAAAAAACUGGAUUGCAUCCUGAAGCUCUGAUGCUGCAGUGCGGAAUUAUCCAACAGCUUUAAGAGAAAAAAGUACUACAUACUGCAUUGCGGACUCUUGUCCUGCUCCAACUCGAAAAAAGCAAGUGAUGAUACUAAACAUGUGAAAUAUUGCAUCAAUUCAACAAUUAGCUUCAGAAGUCUAGUCUUCUGAGUACUACUGAGCAAUGUAUAGCAUGAAGAAAAUAACAUAGACUUCUGCAUCAUCGAAUAGUUCUCAAGUUGAAACUCAAGCUUCUCGGCUUCAAAAAUAUGACGCUAACUACAAGUUUAUAUGUUCGAACAGAAGCAAGCCCAAGGCUCUUGACAAUGUCAUGGUCACAACGUCCAUAACAUUCUAUUACUUUCAACUAAUACACUCCCAAUGAUUUCACUUUACACUACGAGUGAACCUUUUCAUACACGAGAACACAGAAAAAUCAUUCAAUCAACAAACACAAUGUAUCUAAGGAACAAAUUCCAUAACACUCAUUUGAGUCACUGAAAGUUUCAACAAAUUACAGAAUUCAAUUCAUUCAUCAGAAACCUCCAUGGUUUCGUUACAAAAAACAUUGAUGCGGAACUACAGGUUUUCGUAGACCACACUUAAAUAACUGUCUUAUCCACUCACCAUUAUCGAAAUGGUCAAGCACUUAUUGAGCAGUUCUGUGCUUGUAGUGGUAAUUCCAACCAAAUUCAUCGAUCACAAGAAACUCCCUUAGAUUCUUGCGUCUCGUUUUAUCUUUCUCUUUUCAUGGCUACAUCACUCAUAACUUAAAUGAACUGAAACCCUAACAAAUGCAACGAUCAAUCGAACGAACAAGCAAACACUCUAAUCCUAGCAAUAAUUCAACAAAUUGCAACAAAACCUAGCUUCAUUUCUCACUCGCUACACUACCUAAUCCCUAACAAUUAACAAUACGAACAAACAACAACAACAAUACUCAAUUUAUACAUAUCAUAAACAGCAAAUACUUCAUUGUCCAUCGUCGUCCCUUCUCGGUCCAGAACCCGAACCAGAUAGAGAAGCUAGCAAAUUCAGAUGCCCUUGAGCUAUAGGAAAGUAAUUCCCAACUCUACCAGCUGAUGCCUCUUCCAUCUGCUGCUGAAGAAACCUCGAUGGCUGCGUAUUCAUCGCUGCUGCAGCGGAAUGUGAAAUCUCCGGCGACGGUGCAGCGAAACUCCAAACUUGUCCAAAAUCCGGCCUAGCAGGAACUGCCCAAAAUCCAGCACUAGGAACCACAUCCUUAUCUCCACUUCCAUUAUCAUCAUCCUCAGAACGUAAACGCUUACCAAGCAAAAACGGCGCCGGAGAAAUCAACGGAUGUAACAACGACGGCGACGGCGACGGCAACUUAUGAUCAACCGGAGCAGAAGCAGUAACAGAAGAAAUCGAAUUUCGUAACGAAACUGAAACAGUAGAGAAACUAGCAGGUAUAGUACCAGUACCAGUAGCAGCAAUAAUCGAAGGUUCAGCUUGACGCAACAGCCAUUCAAUUGUUUGUCCAUCGGAUUUAUGACCUAGUUCACGAGUUAGCUGAAAAACCCUAGCAGCACAAACAAUUGGCAUCCUUAUACGUCUCCCUCUUCCAUCAACUUUACUAUGUCGGUCCUUCGCCGGCGGUUUCUUCACCGUCAAAGCACCAUUACUAUUAGCAACUCCACCACCGGAGCCGGUGGUAGAAUCGAGUAAAACGGCGCCGUUUUGCUCUACCGACGUCGACAUAUAAUAUUUUAUUUGAUUUUUAUGGAAAAAUAAACACCAAUUAUACAGAAGAAAUUGAGGGUAGAAGGGGAACAGGGGGGGUGGGGGGUCAAAUGAUUGAGAGGCAGGAGCUGGUGGAGACAGGAGGAGGGCACAUGGUUGGGUGGGACCAAGUUUAAUUUUUUCGAUUUUUCGGUUUUUCGAUUUUUCGUUCGGUGUUUGAUAUGAAAAACUCGAAUAAAUUUGGAUCCACCACAAAAAGUUUCGAAACAUUCCUAAAGAAAGUGAUUGUAUACCAGAACUUCAACUCGAAAAAUCUGGAUGUGAAUGAAGAAGUGUUUGUCAUUUCGGUGGGAUCGGGUUUAAUUUUUUUGUUUUACGAUUGUUCAUUCGGUGUUGAUAUAAAAAAAAACUCGAAUAAAUUUGAAUUAACGAUAAAAAGUUUAGAAGCAUUUCUAAAGAAAGCAAUUAUAUACCAAAACUUCAACUCGAAAAAUUUGAAUUAAAUGAAGGAGUAUUUGUCAUUUCGAUGGUGAGAUCAAUUUUAAUUUUUUUUUAUUUGGUGUCUGAUAUAAAGAACUCGAAUAAAUUCAAAUUCACGAUAAAAAGAUUCGAAAUAUUUCUAAAGAAAGCGAUUAUAUAUCAAAACUUUAACUCGAAAAAUCUGAAUGUGAAUGAAGGAGUGUUUGUCAUUCUGGUAGAAUAAAGUUUAAUUUUUUUAAUUUUUUAUUCGAUGUUUGAUACAAGAAACUCGAAUAAAUUCAAGUUUACAACAAAAGGUUUAGAAACAUUUCUAAAGAAAGCCAUUUUAUGAAAGAAAAAAAACAUGUUAAACAUUCAUAAAGUAAAACAAAAUGCAAGUUGGACUAAUCAGUGUUGAUUUUCUGUUUGGUAAUUUGUAUUUAUAUUAAAAAAAUUUAAUAAAUUUAAAUUUUUGUUGAAAAAUUUAAAUUUAAAAAAUCUAAAUAUCAAUAAAAAAAAUAUACGUCACUCUGAUAAAACCAUGUAUAAUACUUAACUUAUUACAAAGCAUUAACAAUAUAAGAUGUGUAAUAUAUUUCGAUUUUAUUUCGUGUGAAAUAAAAGUUUUGAAAUUUAUAUUUUUAAAAACAUGUAAAUACAUUCAUUUAGUAAAUCAAAAUGUGAACUAAAAAUAAUCAGUGUUUUAAAAAGCAAUUUUAAAGUUCCUCUAGAUGGUUAAGAAAAAACUUAUUUUUAAAUUGUCUGAACAUGUGAUUUUAAAUUAUGAGUUCAUAUUAUAGUUUAUAAAUUUGAUUUUUUUUAUCAUAUUUUAAAUAAACUUGUAUAUUUUGAUUUUACAUGCUAAAUUUAUCAAAAGGGUCUAAUUUUGUAUUUGUGACUUCAGACACUAAAUUUUAAAUUAUGGAUCAUGAUUUAAAUUUUGUAAAAAAAAAAAUACUUAUUUUUUGUUUCAUCAACCAAUUUUUCCCAUCCAUAAAAAUACACUUAAAAUCAGUUGGUAUUAUUUGGGAAAAAUUUUUGUUAAUCGUUAUAGUAAGUUUGAUCAUUUGAUAAGAUUAUAUACGAGUUUGGAAAAUUAUAAAAGUUUUUAUAGGUAAAAAUUUUUCAUGAUUACAAGGAAAAGUAUAAUAUAAAGUAUUUCAACUUUCCCUUUUCAAUAGUAACUAUUUAAAUUUUUUUAUUUUGAAUUUGUUAAAUAUUUAUUAUUCAUAUGAAUAUAAGGAUUUAUUCAAAUUUCUUUAUCGAUAUCAUUAUUAUUAUAUAUAAUUUUUUAUUUUUUAAAAAAAAUAACAUCUUUAAUAAAAUAUAAUAAUAAUCUUGACUUAAUCACUCUAAUCAAGCUCGAGCAAUUUAACUUUAAAUCCUCUCAACUUUUUUGCUUUUAUGAAAGGAGCAUGAGAUUAGAUCGUAGAUAAGAAGGAAAUUAUCAUUCAAAGAUGGUUGCUAACUAUCAUUUAAAAUUGUAGUUAAAAAAAAAUUUAUAUCGAGCUCUGAAAAUAAAUUAUUUUUAAUAAAAAGUUUUAAUUUUUAAAAUUGAAUUCUUUUCAUGCUAAUUCGAAUUAAGAUUAGAAUAUAUAAAUAUUAGAUAACUGAGUGGGAGUUUUUGGCCAAAAACAUUUUUUAACUAUACCCAAAACUUAAGCUACAUCUUUAAAGUAUUAUUUAUAGCAGAAAAUAUUAUUUAACUAUAUCCUAAACUUGAACUACAUCCUUAAAGUAUCAUUUUUAGCAAAACAUCCUUUAAGUAUUUAUAAAUGAACAACUUUCAUCCUUUUGUUAGAUAUUGUCAAAAAACACUAAUGAAUCUUACAAAAACAUGAACAAAUAACGUGACUAUCAACAAAAGUUAGUCUGUAUAAUUUCAUUACUUGCUACAAGAUGUUCUUGGAAAAUAUAAAAAAAUCUUAGACAUUGUUGCUUACGGAAACUAAAAAUGAUUAGAAGAUGUGCACAUACAUAAUUUGCUAUUUUCAUAACCGAAUGAAGUUGGAGAUUAAUUAUUUUUUUAUCUUUUUCUUAACCAAAUAAUUCAAUAGAUUUUUAGGUCAAUCUAAUAUUGAAGUGACUAAAAUAUUGAUUAUGUCUCGUAUUUGAGUUUCAUUCUAUAUCUUAUUAGAAGCGGAAGUCUCCAAAAAAUGUCGCUUCUAGCAUAUUCAAUUUCGAAGAAACAUAUUUAAACUAAUAAUAUUUUUAAUUAAAAUUACAUGAAAAAUGAAUUAAGAAAAGGGUCAUAUUAAAAGUUUUGCAUAAUUCUUAACUCAAUUACGAAAAAGUUCACGAUAAUAUUCUCGGCAUGUCUAAGAAUAAUAAUUAGGAAGGAACAACUUAAUUUUUGUGGGAUAUAUCGGGUAGUUUUACGAAAUAUUCAAGUAGAAAUAUGAAAAUUGCUCACUUUAAAAUACUUGAAGGAUGUUUUAUGGUAAGAAUGAUACUUUAAGAAUGUAGUUUAAGUUUGGGGUAUCGUUAAAGGAUGUUUUUGACCAAAAACUCUUAGAUAAUUAUAAAUAGGGAUGUGAAAAGUACAAUUAUCUUGAUCUCAAAAACCUAGUUGAUUAAGAAAAUACGAAAAACUAGGGAUAUAUUUUUCAUACGAUAAACAUAAUACAUAAAUGUAUAUUUUUAUUUGACUUCAACUGACAUUUACGUCCUCCAAUUUCAUCGUGCAACAUAUAAACAUUUAAAUCUGUAUUACAUUUCAUAAUAUAAAUCACUUUGUUUGAUCGGAAAAAGAUCACUUCGAAUAUAUCUCAGGUAAAUUGAUAAGAAGAACACCAAGUAGAUAGUGUGUACUUGUUAAACUUCAUAUAAAUUUAAGUGUUUAUUCAUACUUAUUAAAAAUUAAACAAUAUGUAAAAUAUUGAUUAUAUCCAAAUUAAAUAAUACGUUUAUAUAUUAUGUCUGAUAUUUGAGUGGAAAAAUUAAAAUAUAAAAAAAGAGGGGAAAAAAAAAGAUAAGGGAGAAUUUAAGUUAUGGUUGUCAGGAUGGGGGUCCACUUUGUGGGACCCACAAAACUCAAUUCAGAGUGUAGAAAUUUUUUGUGUUUAAACUUGAAACUUUGAAAUUGAUCACUCAAUUCAUUUACUCACUAAGUCUCAGUGGGUCCUACAAUUUUUUUUUUUUUUUAAUUUGUUUUUUGACAUCGAGAAAAUCCGCAGACGCUAUUCUAUAAGACUACUUUGUUCUUUUAUAAUAAUUUACUAACUUUAUAAAAAGAUAUAAAUUGUAUCGACAAACUUAAAUAAAAAGACAUUAAGAAAAAAUUGAUUUCUGACCUUUUUACGAAAUAUCAUAUAUUGCAUCAAUUCAAUCACGAUAAUGAAUUGUCAUCAAGAGUUAUAAGGAAGUUAUCAACCACAUUUUGUUGAUGAAUUGUUUGGUCCAUUCUAGUUGUGUAUUAAAUGACUUGUUUGUUGUAGGUAAGUACUCAACUUUUUAUCCCUUUUUUUAGGGCUUUGAAUGAACUUUUAUGCAAAGUUUAUUUAUUAUUAUUUUUCUCUUUUUUAAACUAAAGUAGAUAUAAAAAGGUUGCAUGUGUUUCACAGGUUUUACCAAAAACCAUAAAAUACAUUUUUUUUAAAAAAGUUUAUCAUAUUCAAAGUGAUAGAAAACUAGAAAAGAUUUAAAAUUCCUUAUACCACACCUAUAAUUUGUAAUUUUUCUUAUUUAUAUAUUAUUUAUCUUAAAUUAUUUAAUAUUUUAAGUUGAUAUAUCUUUCCCUCUUUUUUUCAGUAGUAAUUCCUUUUUUCAACAUUAUAGACAUGUCAACACAAUAAUAUAUUCAAUAUAGUAUUACUGUUCACACAUAAAUAAAUUUUUCAAUAGAGUAAAUAUUUAGUAAAGAAAUAUUAUAUCUUAAUUUUUUAUUUUUUUAAAAAAAUUAAGUAUCUUAAACUAUUUUAUAUUUCAGGAAUUCAAGAUAAUAUUUUUUACCAUCUAUUUUUUUAAUAGUAAUUAUUUUCAAGGUUAUAAACAUGUCAACACAACACUAUAUUCAUGUAAUAGAAGAAUAUUUAAUGAAGAAAAAUAAUAUUUUAAGAGGUAAAAUAAUGAGGAAAAAGAAAAACAAACUCUUAACCAAUAUUUUCUUAAUUAAGAGACGCAUAAAAGGAAUACAACCGAUAAUUUGAGACAGAGAAAAGCAAUUACAAGGGAGAAAAAUGUAUUUUGCAAGAUUAUUUUUUUGGGGAUUUUCUACUUAUUCUUUUAUAUUUCAUAAGUAAGCAAAAUAUGUUAUUUGAUAAACGUUUAUAUAUAAUUUAGAUAAAUGUCAUUAGAGACUAUACAUGAAAUUAGUAAAUGUAAGGGCAUCUUUUAAUGAUUGAUACUCGUUUAUUGUUCAUUUAAAUAACUAUCCUAUAAUUAAAAUUACAUAAGUAUAUAUAUAGUACUUUUUAGCUUCACACUAAUUGAUUAACAUUAAUAUAAAUCUUAUGUAUAAGCAUAUAAUUGAAAUAAUGAUAAUAAUGAGUUUCUAUAUUUAUAAAAGUUAACAAUUACCCAAAAAGUGAAGAUGUUUAUUAAAAUUAAAUCCACUUAUAAUAAAUGUCAUUCAUUCAAAUAUGCACAUGCUAUAGAGAAAAUUUAUUAUACGAAGAAAGUCAAAUCAAUUACUUUUUUUCUUUAGAGAAAAAAUAACGUAUAUAAACAAAUAUAUACUAGUUGAUAAGUUAAUAUAGUUAUAAUUUGUCUUAAUUGCAAUUUACGAUCUACUUUUAACUAUAACUAUGCGCUUCAGCUUUUUAGUUUUGUAUAAUUCGGCACGUUUGCAUAAUCCGGAAUUUGUAUAGUAUAAUUUGUAUAACUUUUGUAUAAUUUGAAAUUUGUAUAAUAUAAAUUUAUAAUUGUUUACAGUUCUAAUGUUUGUAAUUAUAUAAAUUCGUUAUUUCAAGUUUAUAUAAAAUUAACUGAAAUAUACAAAUAUACACACGAAUUAGCCAAACCAACAAAUUAUACAAAUUUGUGAAUUAUACAAAUGAGAUAGCUUAACGAUAGUUACAGACCAUAAAUACACAAACUAUAACUAUAAAACAUAAUUGAGUUUAUUAUAAUGACUAUUUGCGAAACUUCCUCUCCUAUAAAUACUAGAGGAUGGCAAGUCUGACAGAAAAUGAUUUAGUGAUAGAAAUAAUUAUAAUUAAAUAAUUUUAAAUAAAAUUUGUUGAAUUAUAAUUCAAAUAAUUUAAAUAAUAUUUAUUAAAUUAUAAUUGAAUUGAUUCAAGUAGGAAUUGUUAUAGUUCUAUAAUUUCGAAUUCAGACUAACGACUUGAUGAGUGCUCGAUCUUUCAUAUAUAAUAUAAAGGAUUCAAAUUUCGAGAGUUAAUAUCAAGAAAAUAUAUUUUAUCAUGUUUUAUACUUAACAUUAAUUAUUUAUUCUUCAAAUUAUUUUUAAGACUUAAUAAUAAACACCAAUUAUCAGGAAUUAGUGUUGUAAAAUAAUCACGUCAAUCAUAAUUUUCUUAAUGAAUAUUUUAAAUUCAAAUAUGAUAAGUAAAAGUAAUCGAAAAAGUAUUAAAAAAAGUUAAAAUAAAUUAGUAAAAAUAUUCUUUUUAUUUUAUUAACUUAUAAAGAGUGUUAUAAAAUAAAAACAACUAAUAUGAAAGAAUAGAACAAUUUCUAAUUGUGUGCAUAAUUAAUAAUUUUUGUGGAUCUCCUAAUAUUAUGUAUUUGGAAUAAAGGAAAAAAUAUACAUACUAACAACUAAUCAUGAAACGAUAAAAUAUCACAUAAAAAUAAAAAAUAAUACUAAAUAUACAUGUUGAUACCACAAAAGUUAACUCAAAAAAUUAUAUGAGCUUUUGAUUUUUUAUUAAUGAACGUUAUGUAUGAAUCAAUCAUAUAUUCUUCUAAAUCAUACAUGCAUAUAUACAUAUAUAUAUAUAUAUAUAUAUAUAUAUAUAUAUGUAUGUAUGUAUUCGCGAAUUAUUAUAUAAAAAAGAAGAGAAAAUGCAUAACUACUCCCUUAACCUAUGUCCGAAAUCUCAGAGACACACUUAUACUAUACUAAGGUCCUAUUACCUCCUGAACUUAUUUUAUAAAUAAUUUUCUACCCCUUUUCGGUCUACAUUAAAAAAAAUAUCAACACACACUGGGCCCACAAGAUAGUGUCACGUCGGUCGAAAAAUGGUAUGAAAAUUAUUUAUAUAAUAAGUUCAGGGGUUAAUAGAAUUUUAGUAUACUAUAAGUGUGACUCUGUGUAACGACCUUUUUAGUCGUUUUGAGCAGUAGAGUUAAUUCUGGUAAUAGCUGUCUGGGUCGACGGAUCUCACGACGGACUGUCAUGGGCACGACGGACCGUCGAGGGGGUCCCGUUCCAAAACACUUAGAUUCUAAAAAUUUGGGUACUGAGAACAACUCUCUGAACUUCGCGACGACAUGGCAGGACGGACCGUCACAGACCCUUUAGUGAAAUUUAGUCUCUGCUUUGUGACGGAAGCAGCAGGACGGACCGUCGUAGGCACGACGGGCCGUCACAGGCACGACGGGCCGUCACAGGCUACGUAAACCUGACUGGGUCGGAGUUCUGUAAAAGUUUUAAGGGGGCGUUUUGGACUAUUCCUGCUUAUAAUUAUAAAGUUAGUGAGUUAAUGUUAAUAAUUCAAUUACUUGGGGGUUAAAGGAGACAAUCUUGUAAUAAAUAGUGGGUUACUUUUACCAUCUCUUAUACUUAUUUAUAUGGUAAUUAGGGUAAAAGAAAAAGAGUUUGAAUAAGGAAAAAGAAGAAAGAGACAGAAAGAGAGGGAGAACGAACGAGAGAGGGAGAAACGAAGAGGAAAGCAAAGCAUUGGAAAAGUAGAUUUCUUGAUCACGAUUCUUCGGUGGAGGUAGGUUAUGGUUUAUGCUUUUCCAUAGUAAAACUCUUAAUAGCGAAUGAUAUGUGUUGGGUAGUAUUGUAAAGUCUCUCCUAUAUGCUUAAUUGUGUGCUUGCAUGAUGUGAUUAUGUAAUUGUGAUGAAUUAGCAUGAUGAGGUUGUUGAAUCUUAAACCUUAAAAACCUCUUUGAUAAUGAUGAUGCCUUGGUAUAAAAGAAGGUUUGAUGAAUUAAAAGAAUGAGGUUAGUGGAUCGGGUGUCACGUUCCGACACCAGGAUAGUAUUAAUGGAUCGGGUGUCACGUUUCGACACCAGGAUAGUAUUAAUGGAUCGGGUGUCACGUUCCGACACCGGGAUAGUAUUAAUGGAUCGGGUGUCACGUUCCGACACCAGGAUAGUAUUAAUGGAUCGGGUGUCACGUUCAGACACCAGGAUAGUAGUAGUGGAUCGGGUGUCACGUUCCGACACCAGGAUAAUAUGAGGAGGAUCGGAGUGUCACGUUCCGACACCAGGAUAGUAAAGAGAAUGAAUCUUGAAUUAUGCUAAUAUACUCAGAUUUAAUGAACCUAUUUCCCAAAUGAGUACGGUAUGGAGGCUUGAGUCCUCAUGCGUGUACUUGGCGUUAUUUAUCAAUGAUUCUUGUACUUGUUGUUGCUACCUGUUGAGUAUUGUAGUUGAUUUAAUGAUAUUAUCUGAUAUAUAUUGCUUUCUAUUUUGAGUUGGCCGAUGAUAUCUACUCAGUACUUGUGUUUUGUACUGACCCCUACUUGUAUGUUUUCUCUUUGUUAUUUGUGGAGUGCAGCAAACGUACCGUCGUCUUCAACUCAACCGCAACUCUAGCCAGUCUUCAUCAUGUCAGAUUUCAGGGUGAGCUAUUGUUUCUAGCUUGGACUGGAUCUCUUUCCUCACGUCUUGAUGCCUUGAAGUUCUGGCAUGGACUAGUUGUUUAGUUAUUUUAGCUUCUUAGAUACUCUUAGAUUUAGUAAGUUGAGGAUAGAUGUUCUUGUGGUGAUGACUUCCAGAUUUUGGGGAUAGUAAUUGAUAAAUUUUAGAAGUUGUUAAUUGAUUUCAUUAAUGAGUUUUAAGUCUUCCGCAUUAUUUUCUGUUUAUUAUAGUUGAAAUGUUGGGGUUUGAAUUGGUUGGUUCGCUCACAUAGGAGGGUAAGUGUGGGUGCCACUCACGACACGUUUUGGGUCGUGACACUUUGAGAUUUCAGGCAUAUGUUGAGUAGGUACUUGUACAUUUUCUCUAAAAAUAUAUAUAUAUAAAUAUACAAAAAGAAACAAUUUGUGAAAAGGUAAAUCAUACUUGCAAAUUGCAAUUGAUUCUUAUUAAUAACAUUGGAAAACCCCUAAAAAAUCACUAUAUCAAUGGCAUCAGGCAAGCAAAAAAAUAUGAUAAGUAGUAGUUUAUUAACAUUGGAAAUUUACCAAAAAAUAAAAAUAAAAUUGAAUCAUAAUCUAUGGUAGCAAUAUUUACUUAUCCAUUUUAACUACGAUAUAUUAUGAUCAUGAUCUCUAAACAUGAGUACUAUCGUCAGCUGGCAUGUACUUUUUCCAAAACCAAUGACUCUUCCAAACCCUCGUUACAUCUUCGAUAGGAAUACCUUUAGUUUCAGGUAGAAAGAACAAGAUGAACAAUGUCAUGAUCACCACGAAUCCUCCGAAGAAGAAGAAGAGCCCGAAUUUCAUUUCACAGAGCAUUGUAAGGAAUAUUUGUCCGAUGAUGAACGUGAAGAACAUGUUUACUGAGACGUUGAUCGAUUGUCCUGCUGAUCGAAUUUCCAUAGGCAUAACUUCACUAGGAACAAGCCAACCUAAGGGUCCCCAUGACCAAGCAAAUGCUGCUACAUAUACACAAAUGAUGGCAACUGUGAUGUUACCAAGUCCUUUGCUGAAUGUUCCUAGACCAUCUACUCCAAAUACACUAGCUAUGAUGGAACCAACAGCAAUCUACAAUAAGAAAAAAAAAACAGAGUUUAGUUUAGUCAGGAUUUGAAGUUUAUAGGGUUGUAUAUCAACUGACUGACUAAUGUUUAUAGAUAUGUCGUGGAUUGAACUAAAGUUUGUCCUCACCUAGUGUAGUUAUACAUAUUCAGGAUUUGAUGUUUAUAGGGUGGUUAUUGAAUGAGAGACAAAUGUUUAUAGAGAUGUAGUGGAUUGAGAAAAAAGUCCGUCCUCACUUAGUGUCACUAAAUUUUAGCGUAUUCUGUUUUCAAUAUAUUUGUAUAUAUUCAGGAUUUGAGGUUCAUAAAGCGGUUAUUGACUGAGAGACAAAUGCUUAUAGAUAUGUAGUGAUAGAGAAAAAGUUUGUCCUCACUUAGUGUCACUAACUUAGUGUAUUGUGCUUUUCAAUGUAGUUGUAUAUAUUCAGAAUUUAAAGCUUAUAGGGUGAUUAUUGGCUGAGAGACAAAUGGUUAUCGGUAUCUAGUGGAUUGAGAUAAAAUAUGUCCUCACUCAGUCUGACUAACUUAAUGUAUUGUGUUUUCAAAUGUAACUAUACAUAUUCAAGAUUUGAAGUUUAUAUGAUGGUUAAUGACUGACUGACAAAUGGUUAUAGAUAUCUCAUGGAUUGAGCUAAAGUUUGUCCUCACUUAGUGUUCAAAUUUAUAGUGUGAUUAUUGAAUAAGAGACAAAUGUUUAUAGAUAUGUAGUAGAUUGAGAUAAAGUAUGUCCUCACUUAGUGUCACUAACUUAGUGUAUUGUGUUUUCAAUGUUGCUGUACAUAUUCAGGAUUUGAAGUUUAUAUGGUGGUUAUUGAUUGACAGGCAAAUGGUUAAUAAAGAUGUCUAGUGGAUUGAGCAAAAGUUGUUGGGUUUACGUGUCCAUCCGUCCUCACUUAGUGUACUCUGCUUUCAAUGUAGUUGUACGUAUUCAGGAUUUGAAGUUUAUAGGGUCGUUAAUCGACAAACAGACAAAUGUUUACAGAUAUCUAGUGGAUUGAGCAAAAGUUGUUGGAUUUAUGUGAAACUCCUAUGUAGUACUCUGUCAGUCACAUAUCAGUUUACUUUUCCUUUUGCACACCCUAUAAGAAAAUCAUAAAUAAGAAGAGCAGUUUUACUCUCUGUGUGUGUGGUGGGGGGGGAGGGGGGUUAGUAACUAGCAUGUUGUUUUCGAACUAAAUUAUUAACGAGUAAUUUUAAUGUAGGCGGAUAUUGUUACCUGACAGAUAAGCAUGAGUGUACCACCAACGAGGAACAAGGGCCUCCUGCCAAAUCUAUCAACAGUGAAUAUGGACAUAAGUGUGGCGAACACAUUGACAAGUCCGGUGAUGACAGCUGUCAUCAACGCAGCUCCGUCACCAAAUCCAAGUGUUUUAAACAGGACAGGAGCGUAGAACAUAAUGACGUUGAUACCAGUGAGUUGUUGGAAGAACGGAACCAGGACAGCGAUUGUUAAUUGUGGUCUAUACCUAGGUCUCAUAAUGUUACCCCAUGGAUUUUCGACUUGUUUAGACAUGUCGCUUGCUAUGAUAAGAUCCUCAAAUUCGUUGUCUACGUUGCUUGUACCACGAAUCUUCUGCAACAUCGUCUUUGCCUUCUCUUUUUGCCCUCUGUCGAUCAAUGAAUUAGGCGUGUCUGGUAGGAAAACAGCUCCUACUGUCAUUACAACAGCAGGUACAGCCGCGAGAACAAGAGACACUCUCCAACCGUUUUUCUUCAUGGUAGAGGUACCAUAAUUGACAAGAUUCGCGAUGAGUAUGCCAAGUGUGACGGCCAUUUGGAAACAGACGUUGAGCGCCCCUCUAAGUUUAGGGGGAGCCAUUUCUGAUAGGUAAACGGGGACAGAUUGGUUGGCAUAACCAAUGCCAACACCUAGUAAUAGGCGCCCCAGAAUGAGUACACCCAAGUUCAUGGCUGCACCAUUCAGGACCGCGCCUACUAGGAAAAUUAGACCACCGAUAAGCAUAGAGAUUUUUCGUCCAAAUGCUUUCGUGGUUAUUGAAGCUGCAAAUGAAGCAACUAAUGCUGCUAAAUAGAGUGAUGAUGUAAAGAGUUGUAACAUAUGAUCAUUGAAUUUGCAAUAUUGGCUUCCUCCUUCUUUCAAGUUCUUCUCCUUGUGAUACACAUUUGGGAAAAAUUUGAGUAAAAAUUCAUCCAUAGAUGUCACUCCUCCUGCAGUUUUUCAAGCAAAAUCGUCAACAAUAACAUAUAGACAUUUUACAGUCUGUUCUUGAUCUGACAUACUUUCAUGGUACUAGAUAGAGGAUGUGUUUGGUAUGACUAAAAAUGUAUAGGCGAAGGUAUGGCAAGAGAGGGAUUCAAAGAACAUCCAUUUUACUGUCUGCUCUUGAUCUGACACACUUUCAUAAUAGUAGAUAGAAGGCGUGUUUGAUACAACUAAAAAUGUAUAGGCGAAGGUACGAAAUGAAAGGGAUUCGAAGAACAUCUAUUAUAACAGACGUUUUACCGUUUGUUCUUGAUCUGACAUACUUUCACGAUAAUAGAUAGAAGGUGUAUUUGGUAUGACUAAAAAUGUAUAGGCAAAGGUAUGAUAAGAUCGGAUUCGAAGAACAUCAAUCAUAAAAGACGUUUUAUUGUCUGUUCUUGAUCUGACAUACUUUUACGAUAAUAGAUAGAGGGUGUGUUUGGUAUGACUAAAAAUGUGUAGGCGAAGAUACAUCAAGAGAGGAAUUCAAAGAACAUAACGUUUUACUGUCUGUUCUUGAUCUGACACACUUUCACAGUUGUAUAUAGAGGAUAUAUUUGGUACGACUAACAAUGUACCGACAAAUGUACAACAAGAGAGGGAUUCAAAGAAUAUUCAUAAUAAAGGACAUUUUACUAUCUGUUCUUAUUCUUGAUCUGACAUGCUUUCAAGAUAGUAAAUAGAGAACGUCCUUGGUACGGCUAAAAUUGUAUAUGCGAAAGUAUAACAAGAGAGAGAUUCAAAAAACAUCCAUUAUAAAAGACGUUUUACUGUCUAUUCUUAAAUCUGACAUACUAUCACAGUAGUAGAUAAAGGGUUUGUUUGAUAAGACUAAAAAUGUAUAGGCAAAGGUACGACAAGAGAGGGAUUAAAGAACGUCCAUAAUAAUGACAUUUACAUUAAAAAAGUUGUGUUUAUCUUUUAUAUUUAUACUGAACGAUGAUAAAAAAAAAACCAAAAAAAUUAAUAAAAAUAUAUUACCUGAAAUACCAAUAUCAUAACCAAAGAGUAAACCACCAGUGGCUGCAACCAAACAUGUCAUAAUAACAAAAGCUGUAACUUUUCCUUCAUAAUCACCACUACCACCACUCACUGCAAAUCCUCCUGCCAUUUUUUAUUUUUUUUUACUUUUUUACGAAUUUAUCGAAAAUAAAAUCUCUAAAUUUUUUUAAAUAAAAUAAUAAAUAGUUAUUUAAAAUAAUUUAUACAAAUUCUUUAGUGAAUUUUAUAUUGGAUAGUGGUGUAAAUAACACAAAAUAAUUAUCAAGGGAUAUAAGAAAACAAAGGUCUUUUUUUUUUUAAUUUAAUAAAUAUAAAUUUCAAAUAAAAUAUUUUUUUUCCUUCUUGAAAGACCUUUGGAUUUUUUUUUCUUUUCUUUUGAUAUUAUUUAUUUUCCCUUGUUUUACAUGAGCACGGCAAACUUGUUGCCUGCUCUGUUUCUUUUAUUUACUUGUUUAUUUUGAAAAAUAAUAUAAGGUAUUUAUAGAAGGUGAAAAUUAUGAAUUAUCCACGAAAUAGGGAAAAAUUUAAGGAUAUAUGAGGAUGGAGAGAAUUUUAAGAAGAAGAAAAAAAAAUUGAAUUUUUAUCCAUGUAUAAUGUUUGUGGAUGAUAUUAAUUUAAUUAAACUUUUUUAUUUGAAAUUAGUAAUUAGUAAAUAAAGAGAUGAAGAUGCAUAUUUAUUUCCAAUUUGCAUGAAAAAUGGGAGUAAUAUUAGUUAUUGUUUGGUGGAUAAAAUAAUAAAUCCGUGUGAUACGCAAGUAAUAAUAUUAAUUAUUAAUCAUGUCAAAUUGUAAAUUUAUUAUAUAUAUAUUUGAAAUUGAAUAUUAUUUUCUAAAAAACAAUAUCAUAUUAUGCUCUCAAGCUUAAAUUAACCACACUCAAUUAUAUAUAUUUAUUUUUAUCUUUCAAUUUAAGUUAAAAAAAAAAUUAACCAUAUUCAAUUCAAAAAAUCUAUAACAAUGAUAUAUUGAUAUUCAAAAAAAAGUUAAUUAUCUUUAUUUUAAAACUCUUCUCCUUCUAAGCUAAUGUUUGACCAUAAAUUUUAAAUAUUCUGGCAAAUAUUAUUUAGGUGAAUAUUUGGAUGAAAUUUCACUAUGUGUUUAGUCAUAGUAUUUGAGAAACAUAUUUCACUUUUUCGGACUAAUAUAAUUUAUACUCAUAAGUUUCAAAAACUAUCAAAGUAUACGUAAGUUUGUAUUACGAGUCAAUUGAAUCUUCGUUGCAACAAAUAACAAGUAGUGUCCAUGACACUAGAGCAAUGUGAUAGUUUUGGAGUGAGUGCUACAUGCAUCAUUCCAUGCAUCGUGAAGUAGACAAAGUACAUGACUUUGUUACUCUGAACCAAUUGUUCAUCAUUUUCAUCAAUAACUGUAUCAUCACUUUUAUAUUCACUGAAUAUUUCAUCACUACUUUGGUGUUCACGUAAAAAAAAAAUGUAAUAAAAUCCAAACAACUAAUAUAGAUGGUGUUUUUGUAAAAGACAAAAAAUUGAUAUGAAAUUUCAAUUUUUAAAAGAUCCCAAAUAAUGUGAUUUGACUCAAAUACUAGAAAAAACUAGCAUUUGAGAAUUUGGAACAUUUGCCAAAAACAUUUGUCAAAUAAUGACAAUUUAUAUGGACAAACACUAUUUGUCAAAUUUUUUUUCCGAAUAUUACUUGAGAAAUCUAUGGCCAAACGGGUCCUAGGUCUCGAUGUGACACAACCUGAAAGACAAUCAUGCGGGCUUAGGUGCGUGUCAUGGACUUGGGUCAUGAGUCUUGAUGUGACAUAGCCCGAAAGACAAAUCCAUGCAGGUCUACAUACAUGUCAUAAACUUGGAUCGUGAGACUUGACGUAACAUAGUUCAAAAGACGAAUUCAUGCAGGUCAAGAUUCAGAGACAAUACGUGUCAUUAACUUGGGAGUCGUAACAUGUACUGUCCCAGGCUCCCAGCGCAUGAGAUUUCUGAAUAAAUUAGAAAUGUUCUUAUAAUUGAAGUUAAAGAGACUACUGCUAACAUAGAAAGAACAGUCUGAUGCACAAAAUAUUUCACGUCAGUAAAUGCAUGCAUAAAUACGAUCAUCCUCUCUUUGAACGAAACCAUAUUAACAUAAAUCUGAAAAUACACAAUUAUUUUCAUCUUAUAGACAGCUCAAAUAUACAAAUCCAAACAGGUUCGCGCCAUUAUACAGCUAAAAUAUACAAUGCAUCCUCAUUAUUCUUACCUAAAUCAAGGAAGCAGAUCAAUUUAUAGGCAAAAACAGGAUAGACAACAACGACAAGACGAAAAAUGCCUCUUGUCGAUCAUAGACUGAUGAGGAUACCAGAACGGAUGAACUUUUCCCUGAAUAUUACGCGAUAGAAACUGUCUUUAGAAGUCCAUCAAGAUACUCCUUGAGUUUAACUUUUGUUAUCGCGCCUUCCCUUUUGCUGUCUGGGACUUCCUUUCCAUCUUUGAAGAGAAUCAAAGUUGGCAAUCCGUAAACUUUGUACUCUUCUAUGAGCUUGGGACUCGCGUCAUGAUCUAUCUUAACAACAGUGAUCUUUUCUUUGUACUCCUGAAUGGUAAAAGUAAAGGAAAUGACGUUUUAAGGAAAAGCAUUUACUUCAAACAUCAAGAAAAAGAAAGACCAGAGACAGGAAUCGCUUAAUGAUUCAAGAUUCAACACAAGAAGACAUAACUAUGUAUCAUUACACUGAUGUAUUCAAAUGAAAACGAGCUAUACUAAAAUGAGAAGAGCACUCGUUCGCUGGCUCCUGCAUGAAAAUUUCUCAAUCUUUCCUCACUCGAAGUUCUAUUUUAAACUACAGAGCUGUCAAUCAAUCAGCGGUAUCCUCUGGCUAGAGGCUUUUGGACACUGGAUCAGACACAUAAUAGCUUUACGACUUUAACUCUACAUUAAAUGGGGAAAAAGCCUCGAAGAGAACAUUUCAAUAACUCAAGUUAAGCAAAUAUCACAAAUGAUUUUUGAGCAAAAAGAAGAUUUAUUCCAUCAUAACAAACACACCUUUUAGCAGUUUAACAUGCUCAUUGAAGAAAAAGUUGGAUCUUUAACUCUAUGUGAUAGGAAAAAAGGCCUUGAUCAGAGCAUUUCAAUAAAUCAAGCUAAGCAAAUAUCAGAAAUGAUUUUUUAUCAAAUAAAAAAAAAUCCUUCAUACCAAAUACACCUUUUAUCAGUUAAACAUGUUCAUUAAAGAUAAAAAAAAUGAAUCUUUAACUCUAUAUGAAAUGAGAAAAGGGCCUCAAACAGAUCAUUUCAAGUCCUGAAAAUGAUUUUUUUAGCCAAAAAAAAACAAACAAAUAUCUUCCAUCAUACCAAACACCCUUUAUUAGUUUAACAUGCUCAUUUAAGAAUUUCUUCAACACUUCAGUGGGAACAAAAUACCUCUAAUAGAACAAAUUUCUUCUACAUCAAUUAGGAAAAGGGUCUUAAAGCAAACAACAAAAGUGAUCUUUCAGCAAAAGAAGAACGAGUUAAUGGUCAAAAAGACACUAUUUUCACGAGUUUCACACCUUAAGUAUGUAUUGUUCCAUUCACCUACCAAAGGUAUCACUCUCUAAUUGUAUUAAAACACACCUUGACACUAAGUUGAUACACACGUGCAUACUGUCGAGUGGGAACAAUAUUUGCCCAACUAGCAUCGAAGUGUUUUCUGAUGCAAAAGGUGUGAUAGUUUAGGAAGGUAUAAAACUAGCGACAGAGUAAUAGUUUAGGUGCUUUUUUAUACCAUCAACUCAAACAAAAGAAGUUAUUUUCCUUCACACCAAACACACUUUCAUCAGUUUAACAUGCAUAUUGAAGAAACAAAUUGACAAGGGGAAAUUGAAGGUUUGAUUGAAUAGAACUCCAAUAACACAACAUAAAGAUUGUGAAAAGAAGAAAUAUGAUUUGUCCACCCCAUUUCCCAACGCGAAUCAAUGGAAUUUCGUUACAAAACAAGGUUUUCCCACCGAAUCGGAUCAUUCAUGGGAAAAAAACGCAUGGUGGCAAACAAAUUCUCAUUGAAAUAUUGAGAAUAGCUACUGAAUAUUUUUCCUAUUCUCAUGUAUUCAAUCAAAAUAUCUGCAGACUUAUGGGAAAUUUGUAUCAGAAAACAUGAUUUUUCCUAUUUCAUUCCCACCAAACCAGCUCACAAAAAUGCAUGGUGGAAAACUGAUUCUCAGUCACUAAACAUUUCUCCUUUUUCACUACUGCAGGAACAGUCACCGAACGUUUUUCAUUGAGAAAUUUCAACAGAAAUAUAAUGAUUAACUGAUUAUAAACUACGAACUUUCUAUUCUAAUUCCUAUCGAAGAUUUAAUUGAAUAUAAUUCGAAUAACAGGGGAAAAAACGAAGAAGAAGAACCUCAGCAACGGAUUCCAUGGCAGGACCAAUCAAACGGCAAGGUCCACACCAAGUAGCUACGAACUCCACAAGUACAGGACGAUCGGACUUCAAAACCACGUCGGAAAACUCAUCUUCCUUAAUCUCCGUCAAUCCACCGCCACAGCUUAUCCUCAAUGUCGAACAAUUUCGAAACCCUAACUUUCUCCCUCGAUUCCCAAUCGAAAACCUAACUUUUUUCCAAGCCAAAGAAGAAAACGAAGAACGAAAAGGAGAAGCGAAAUUACAAGUUGUAUUGAACGAAUGCGUCAUAGGAUAUGAAAUCCUCGAAGUUGAAGUAGCGACGGAAGCCAUUGUCGCCAUUGUUGAAUGCUUCGAGAAAACUUCUUCAGUUAUCGCUAAUGAAGAAGGUGUUUUCGGUCCACACACAUUUUCUUCACUAAGUAGGCUGAAAUUUCAUGAUGAUUGCACACCAAAGAAUGUAUAACAUAGUAUCCAAUGAUAUCCCGCCACGUCAUAUACAUUGGUGUCGGAAUUUCGAUAAGGAGGUGUGAGAGGUUAGAUAUACCGGGAACGAGGGGAGGCAAGAGGUGAUUAGAUCGAUUAUGACGUAUAAAUAGACGAGGACAUAACCUUAGAUAAGAGGAUGCGAAGGACGUAAAUAAGGUUAAAAUGUUAGUAGGUAAUCGAGAUCUACGAUUUUAAGGUUGUGGAUGCUCUGAACAUGGUGAAUAAGGUUGUGGGCAGUUUGGAGGCAAAAAUAUAAGAUUCAAACUUAAGCUUAAUAACACUAAAAGAGUCUUAAGCAUCCACCCAAGAGUCAAUGGACCGGCCAGAUCAUUUGUUCAUUGGGUGAUUUAUGUGAAUUUUAACAAUUACUUCUUAAUUUCUACAUAGAUAUAUAUAUCUCGAGAUGAGGUUAAUGAAUGCUUGAGCACCCGAAGGACUCUAUGUGGGUCUGCCCCUGGUUGCAUACUAAGAAUGUAUAACAUAGUCUAAUGAUACUCCGUCAUGUAGUAUAUUUUAAGUUGUGUUCAGAAAUAACUUCUCUGUCUUUUACGAUGAGGCGUGACAGGUCAAACAUACUGGGAAUCAUUAUUUAGAUUACUAAGGGCAUGACCUUUUACAUAAGAGAGUGUGAUUUAUGAAGAUCGCGAAUAAAGUAAAAAUAUUAGUAGAUAAUCGAGUUUUGUCUUAAUAUUAAUUUCAUAGUCUACAAUGAUACUUCGCCAUGUAGUAUACAUUAAGUUGUGUCGACAAUAAUUUAUUUAUCUUUUUUAUGAAUUAAUUAAAUUAUGGAAUCAUGAAUAGUCAUUGGUUGAAUCAAUGUUAAACACUAUAAUCUAUAGGAAAUUAUGUGAAACUUUGCUGAAUUAUUGUAAAGUUAUGUGAUUAGGAAUUAAUAUCAAUUAUCAAAGUUAUUUAUGUUUUUUAUAAUAUAGAAAUAAUCCACAUACCUAAUGGAGAAUUUAUCGAGUUUUGAUUCAUUAUUUUUUAGUCUUAAAAUGAAAUUCAGUAUCUUUGAAAAUAAUAUUCAGAAUGUUAUUAUUUUUAUUCUUGGAAUACAUUAUUAUAGUUAAUUUAGUUCGUAAAAUUCAAAUCUCCUCCUCGAUAUUAAUGAAAAAUCGUAAUAUUUAUUUUUAAAAAACACAAUAAAAUACCUCGUCAAAUUUACGAAAAAAUCAAUAAUGCUAUCAAUAAUUAGGAACAUUAGCAUGAUUGGGAAGGAAGCCUAGUAUCUUGAAGUAUGCAAUAAAUUUUUUUAUUUUAUUUUAAAUUUUAAAUUUAAAUUUAAAUUUAAUGUAAUGAGAUAAUAGUUUAUCUAUCAUUUUGUUCAAGUAAAAAGUAUAAUAAUCCAUUCAAAAAAAAUUUAAAAAAAAUUCUUCAUUUCAUCAUUUCUUAUAUCAUCAUAAUAGAAAAUACAUAUUAUUGAUAAAACAAUAUAACAACUUAAUUAGAAAUGAUAAAUGUUUUUAAAAAGGGAAAAUAAUAGAAUUCUAUGGAGAUGCAAACGUGUCGAAAUCCCAUUGGAUAAAGCCCAAUUUAGAUUUGAAUGGCCAGUAAAUGUGCAAACGUGGCUCCUCAAGAUAUCCUAUGUACCAUUUUUAUGUGAAUUUGUUUUUUGAUAAAUUUAUUUAUUUGCAAAAAAAAAAAUAAAAAAAAUUCUUUCGGUAUUCAAUAUUUAUAUGGAGCAUAAUAAUUCAAUUCACACUUAGAAAAUCUCGCUUUUAAAAGACAAUUUGCUUCCUAGUAAAGACGAUCUUAUAUUCAUUGUUCAAACUCGUGUAAUUAAAAAUGGUGAAAAAAUAUUUAUCAUUCUAUUACAAAUUAUAACAUUUUUUUUGUAAUUUUAACCCAUCAAUUUUAUUAUAUUUUUACAUUUUCAUUUUCAAAAAUGCAAAUCAUUAUGCAAAUUUCUUUACUUAAACUAUUGUUAUGCAAAUUAAGCCAAGAAAAAUGACUUAGAACACUAGUGUCCAAAUUUAUAUUACAAAAAUAAAAUACAAUUUAUCCACAUAUUUUGAAUAUUAUGAUUGCUUUUUGGAUGAAAAGAGAGUAAUUUAUUAUAUAUUUCAAAAAUGAAGAAAGAAAACAAAAAAAACUAAAAACUAAAAUGAAAAUGAUUGAAUAUUUGAAAUUAUUUUUUGUUUUUCAAUGAUAAAAAAGAUACAAUUUGUUCAAAUAUUAUAGGAAAAAAGGAUAAAUAUACUUCCAAACUAUCGUAAAUGGUAUGCUGAUACCCUCCAUUCAUACUUUUAGCACAUUGAUGCUCCUGUCGUCCAUAAACUAGAACAUAUAUGCCCUUCACUCUAACAGAAGACUAAAUAGGCACAGGCGCAAUUUUAUCCGUCGAUAAAUGUCAGAUCGAUGAAUAAGAUUACAAACAUACGUGGCACAAUUUUAUUUGUCCAUAAAAUGUCGGAUCGGUGAAGAAGAUUAUGAUAUGUGUAUGUUCGUUAGUGUAAAUGACAUAUAUGCUUUAGUUUUUGGACGACAGAGAUAUUAAUGUCUCAAAAGUAUGACGAAACAUAUUUGCAUACCAUUUAUUAUAGUUCAAGGUAUAUUUAUUAUUUACUUAUAUUAUAAUACGAUACAUUAUGAAACAAUUCCGGUGAUGAUUAUCCGAACACAAGUGUAAGGGACACAUUUGUAAUUCAACCAAACAUCAUAUACCAAUAUUGUUCAUUAUUCAGAAAAGAGGACUACAAAUGAUCAAUCUCAAACUUAGUGGACCAUUUUAGCUAUAAAAAACUAUCCCCAGUAUUUUGUACUAGAACCGACUCACAGUCACCGGCGCCGGCACAAUUCCUCCGGUAUCGCGAGAACAAAAGUGCGAUGAACAGUAAAGACGACGAAAAGCAUAAAGUAGAAGAAGGAGAAGAAUCGCCAUCUCAUUCUCAGCAAACAGGUAAAAAUUAUGUUUGUAUCUGAUAGAGCUUGUCGAAGUUUUAGGAAUUCGCCUAAUUAGUGUCUUUUAACGCUCCUCAAGCUAAUUUAUGUUGUUGUAUACAUUAGUCGUAUGGAAAACUCCAACUAGUUUGAGUUGAGGCAUAGUUGAUUGAUGGAUUGAUGAGAAGUAGGAUUCAGUGGCGGAACCAGAAUUUUUGAUAAAAAGGUUCAAAAUCUGAAAAAAUAGACACAUGAAGUAGCCGAAGGGGUUCGACAUCUAUUGUAUAUUCCUAAAAAAAUAAUUUUAAUCAUGUAAAAAUUAUAUAAUUUCUUUGGCGAGAUAUGGUGGCUCCGACACUGGUAGGAUUGACAGGCUUCUAGGUUGGCAAGCUCUUAAAAUGAGGUGCACAUGACACUUAAGGUGAAUACCAUAUAGGAAUGGAGAGUAAAGAGCUUUUAUAAGAUAUAACUCAAGUUCACAUGUUAAGCACGCUUUUGACGCUUGAUAUGGUGGUCCAAAAGACAUAUCCAUGUAGGCCUAGUCCAUGUGUUCCAUGGGCUUGGGUUAGAUGGUUCGGACAUUUGAAGAGGCGGAUGCAGCAAUGAGGAGGUGUGAGAGGUUGGCUAUUGUGGGGAUAGGAGAGGUAGUCUGAAGAAGAACAUUGGGAGGUGAUUCAGAAGGACAUGAUACACCUCCAACUUACUGAGGACAUGACUCUGUAGGAAGUUUUGGAACUUGAGGAUUAAGGUAGAACGUUAGUAGGUAGCGAGUGUUGCGUUAUCUUUAUGUGGGAGAAUCAAGGGGCUAUUCUCCUGUUCUCGUUCUCUGUUCUUGCAUUGCGUCCUGCACGUUGUUUAUAUUUAUUGAUUACUUGUUGGUUCAUUGGUUGUGUUUAUCUUACUACUUGUUGCAAAUAUUUUUUACUUCAUAUUUUAUAUUUUUCUUAGCCUGUUUUGGUAAUGCGUUCUUCAAUUCUCAUUAUUACUUGUUGCUUAAUUUGAUUUGGUUAUCUUGCUUUUUAUCGUCGCUAUUUUCCUUUCUAUCAUGAUUUGUCUUCACUUUCUUUUGAGCCGAGUGUCUAUCAAAAAUGACCUCUUUAUCCUGCAAAGGUGGGGUAAGGUCUAGGAAUACCCUCUCCAUACCCCACGAGUGGGAUUACAUUGGAUAUAUUGUUGUUGCUAAACCACUUGGUUUUAAAUGGCUAUUCGAAUGAGUAAUCACGUGCAAGUAUUCAGAUCAUAUCACCUACCAACCUCAAUAUUCCGAUGUGAACUUUUACCAAUUAGUGCUGUGGAGUAUGGACUCCCUAAGAUCCUUUACCCCCCUAAUACUUUUGUUUUCGGGUGUAUAGAGGAUAGUUCAUCGCUUAUACUGUUAAUCGAAAUGCCAAAUCUUCAGAGGACUGUUAAGAUGUGUAAGUUUUCCUUUGGAUGAAACAUUCUAGUUUCAUUAUUUAGUGUAUCGUGGAGUUAUUCUCUACUUUAUAUUAACAUUGUUGUUUUGUCAGUUUCUGAUGAUGAUGAGAUAGAUUACUCUGUCAAGCCAGAAUUUUAUGAUCCAGAACUUGAUGACAAAGAUGAAGUCUGGGUCCAAAAGAAAAGGGGUGGUCGUACUUCUGAUGCUAUCCUUAAUUGUCCAGCUUGUUUUACCACCCUUUGUCUAGAUUGUCAAAGGUAUGGCCUUUCUCCUUUCUAGAAUAUCCCUGUGAUUUUCGAAUAUAAAACAACCAUAUAGUUGAUUGCAUGUUUCUGUUACUUUACCUCUGGAAUUGUUGGUUAUUUAGUACUUCUUCAACCAAUCAAUCAGUCAACUAUGUUCAAUUCCAAUUUAGUUGUAUAGACUGUAUGAAUCAUCUAUAUCCAUCUGCUCAAUGUGGUCCAUAUCAUUCCAAUACUAAAUCAACUGCCUUUUAAAGCAACUAAUUUUGAUCUUCUUGCAUUCUCGAACAGAUAUACUGAUUUGGGUCCUUAAUUUUUAAACCAUUACUUUUUGAAAAUGGUCCAACAUAUGGAGGAACAGUCAGCCAGAAUAUUCGGAUCUUCUUAACUCUACUUAUGUUUAUCUGCUUCCUAGGAAAGUUUAUGUAGCAAUGAGGAGAAGAGAUAUCCUUGAAGUAGGAUUUGCAUUUUUCAGAGUUGUUAAAAUAUUUUUUCCUCCAUAAAGUUUUUGGUGCAGUAUGUUGGACCUUGAUUUUAUAGUAUCAUUUCAGAUGUUUGGAAAUUGAUUGUACUAUAACAUGAUUUUUGGAAUUUUCGAUGUUACUCGCUCUGAUUAACAGGAUGCGCUGCAUAGGUAAGAGGUUGAGUCUGCCACUAUUUUUCAGUUCUAGUAAUAGUGUAAUAGCCUGUAUGAAUUGGCUUAUUUUAGGUGCUUUUAAGCACACUUAUAGUAUUGAGAUAAGAUUAAGUAGGUGGUUUUAACUUUUAAACACUUGUUUUUAAAUCAAAAUAACAAAAAUAAGCCAAAAGCCAUAUGUUAGGAUCUCUAAUGUAUGACUUAUAAGCAUAAGCCAUAAGUUAUAAGCCCAUCCAAAUAGUCUCUUAGCAUCAAAUACAAGCUCUUUCGAUGAAGUAGGAGCAAAAGGGGGUAAUGAUCAACCGGAAUCACGGCAGAAAGGGAGAUUGCAGUAGCCUUAUAGUGAUACCAGAUAAAUGAUGGUCAAGGAGAGAGUUUCAUAGUAUCUUGUAGUGCGUCAAUUCCAUCAACAAUACUUAGAUUGAGAUUAACUAUAAAUAAAAAGAAUAUUUUAACUGGUUUGACGUUGAUUCUUCUUGGUUGGAAUCGUAGAAGCCUAGGUUCAGUGCAUUUGGUGAAAGCAUGAAUUAAAGAAUUAUUCUAAAAUCUUCUUGUUUGAUAAGUAAUAAUUCAUAAAAAAAAUUUACUAUACGUUGAACUAACGCACCUUUAUGACAUUACCAAGUUCAGUUAUUAUCAAUUGACUCGUAAACUGAAAUCCUGUUGAGUCACCAUCCGAUCUUAAGACAAUUUGUCUGCAUUUGCAUGUAAUUCAUCUGCUUUUCAAUCAAGAGAGUGACUUGGUGCAUUUUACGUCUGAUGCGAGCUUCCUUUGCUACUUUCUGUAGCUUUUUAGUAGGUGGGAUAAUAUAUCUGCAAUUCAGAAUUGAUAUAAUCUUAAUAAUGCAGGCAUGAAAAGAAUGUCACACAGUACCGAGCAAUGUUCGUGGUCAAUUGCAAGAUCAAGAGUGAACAAGUCACCGCACAUCUUGGAAGCAAACGAAAGAGGGGUAAGAAAGGGCGUGGAUCUUCUGAAGCUGAAGCGGGUUCUGAUAUAGGCAAGACAUAUAAACGUGUAUGCUGUUCAGUUUGUUCAACAGACGUUGGAGUCAUUGACGGAGAAGAGGUCUAUCAUUUCUUUAAUGUUAUUCCUAGCGAGUCUUGACAUGUUCCUCCUGAAAAUGGCCUUAAGCUCUUCGUUUUCGGCUGUGCAUUGCUAAGAACUUGAGGGUUCAAAGAACACUUCCUUCCCCAGUAGGGUGCCAAAAAUUUGCAGUUUGUGCUAAAAGCAAAAGCUUCCUUGUUCAUGGGGUAUUUAAUUUAAAACCAUAGGUCUAUAGAACUAAAUGAGCUUAUAAAAUCGUUUCGGUUACCGUAUUAUUUGUUGUUGUUGAUGAUCUCUUCUCUCCUUCUUUACUACCAUAUUUCAUUUCUAUACUUGUUUUUUUGCGUGCGUUACUGAGCCAAAGGUCUAUAUGAAACAAUCUCUUUGUUUUGGUAUCAUUAUCCCCUUCUUAAAGUAUAAUCUUUAGUUUAUGUAAAACUAACACAAAAUAUUAUUCCCUCCGUGCUAUCAUAGUUGUUCAUUAUAUUAUUUUGGAAUGUUAAACAAUAGUUGUUCCUAAUUUGAACUUAUCAUUAAAAAUGGUCAAUCCCCUCAGUAUAUUUUUUAAAUUAUUAUAUUCAAAAGAUGAUAUAAUAAAAUCAUUCUUUUAUUUACUGUUUCUUAAGAAAUAUGCAAAGUUAAUAGUAGAUAAAUAACAUUGUACCGAUAAAAUAAUAUAAUAGUUAUCCGUUAUACUACUGUCACAUAAUAAGUAUGAUACUAACAAAUAUGAGAGUUAACAAUAUGAUAAACUUGAUUGACAAGAUUAUUUAAAGACUUCAAGUAACUUAUUCAAAACCUCUCCUAUACCGGUAGAUUGCAAGUGAUAAAUAUUGUAUUGUACAUAACUUUUAAAUAUUGUGUAUAUAUAUUUUUUAUAACGAUUGGAAAUUCACGGUCGCUAUUUUUUGGGUGCACAGGAAGUUAAAUCCACGCUCUUAUGCAGUAGCUUGCAAAUCACAUAGGAGAGGUAACUCAGGCAAGCCGGUGCAAUGAGCUCGACCUAGAAGACAAACCUCUUACUUUCGCAGGCAAAAGAUUUUGAACUAGAGAUCUUCGACAUGAAGUCCCAAACCCAAAUCACUGGGCUAACUCGAAAGGUUUAGUGAACAUGAAUAAUAUUGCAAAACUGAAAAAAUGACAAUGUUUAAAGGCAACCACAUACAUAAGAAGAAUUGGUAACAGAGAUAAACAAGGAGAUAACAAAGAAUUGGUGACAGAGAUAAACAAGGAGAUAACAGAGAUAAAGUAAAAGUCUAAGCGCAUACGGCACGAAAAAAAGUUCUAUUUCGAUAAGACUUAAUCAAUAUAGUUUAGAUUCAAGUUGGUUUAGUAAGGGUGACAACGAAAAUCACCGAAUGGUCAGUCUUUAAGUUCUCCCAGAUCAGAAUAUCAAAGGAGAACGUUGGAGAUGCCGGGGCGGACACGACUUCUUCUAAGGCUAGAAGACCAUUGGAAGACACCUAGAACUGUAGCAUGUCGUGGAGGACAUUGCAGAUGUCCGAGCGGACACGACUUCUUCUAAGGCUAGAAGACCACCGAAAGAAACGCAAUACUAUAGCAUGUCGUGAAAGAAGAGAUUAUAAUUACGUAACAGUUUAAAAAAAAACACGUAAAUAAAGACAUUACAUAUCACAUUUACAAUGUUAUUAGUUUUUCGUACUUGGUAGUAGAUCGACCUUUCGUUAUCAUAAAUAGGUGCUCUUUACAUGUAAUUGUUCGUCGAUAAUAACGAUAAUAUUUUUACAUGUUAUCAAAAAAAAAAAAAAGACUAUAAUUUUAUAAACAAAUACUGUUAUAAAAACUAUUCAAUAUAUAUUCUUUUUAAUACAUAAUAAUAAUAAAUAUAAACAAAAACUAAAAUCAACUCCAAUAAGCUCAACACAUUGCAAGAAGCUUCAUCUAGCAGCAGCAGCAGCAGCAGAGAGGGUUUUUGGGAAGAAGGGGCAAUUGAAAAAUGGCGUCAAGAACACUUGAAAUAGAGAAGAUGAGUGUGGAGCAACUUAAAGCACUCAAAGAACAAGCCGAUCUAGAAGUGAACCUUCUUCAGGAUAGCCUCAAUAACAUCCGUACAGCAACUACUCGACUGGAAAUCGCAUCUAAUGCCCUUCAAGAUCUGUCACUACGCCCUCAAGGUUUGUGUUCAUUCUCGUUUUGGUAAAUACCCUUUUGGAAAUUAGGUGAAAAAGAUUAUUUUUUUUUAUUGUGAAGUUUAUGAUGUGGGGUUUGGUUUGUUAUGCUUCUCAGGGAAGAAAAUGUUGGUUUGUGUCAAUGGUUUAUUGUAAAACACCCUUUAAGGAGUUAGGUGUGAAAGAUUGUUCUUUUGACUUUAUUGUGAAAUUUAUGAUAUGGGUUUUGGUUUUCUUGCUCAGGGAAGAAAAUGUUGGUUUGUAUCCUGUACUGCAACACAGCUUUUUAGGAAUUAGGUGCUAAAGAUUGUUCUUUUGACUUUAUUGUGAAAUUUAUGAUAUGGUUUUUGGUUUUUGAUACUGUGUUUUCUUGUUCAGGGUGUGUCACUCUUUUACUGCAAAACACCCUUUUAGGAAUUAGGUGUAGAAGAUUGUUCUUUUGACUUCAUUGUGAAAUUUAUGAUAUCGGUUUUGGUUAUCUUGCUAAGGGAAGAAAAUGUUGGUUGGUAUCCUUCUUGUAAUACAAAAUACCCUUUUAGGAGUUAGGGGUAAAAGACUGUGCUUUUGACUUUAUUGUGAAGUAUAUGAUAUUGGCGGAGAAGAGCUUUGUUCAAUCGAUGAGUAGUAUCCUUCUUUUCAUGUGAUGCAUCUAUGUAGCUCCUGCUUGUAUAGAGCAUUGGGUAUCGUUUGGAGAGAUUGGUAUGUCUGUUGUAUACUGCCAAGUUGACCUUGUUAUCUUCAAUGAAAACCUUACUAACAUGAUAUGGGUUUUGGUUUUUAUACUGUGUUUUCUUGCUCAGGGAAGAAAAUGUUGGUUCGUAUCCCUCUUGUACUGCAAAAUGCCCUUUUAGGAAUUAGGACUUUAUUGUGAAAUUUAUGAUAUUGGUUUUGGUUUUUUCUUACUGUGUUUCCUUGCUCAGGGAAGAAAAUGUUGGUGCCUUUAACAGCGUCUUUAUAUGUGCCGGGAACACUAGAUGAUGCUGAUAAGGUUUUGGUAGAUGUCGGCACUGGAUAUUUUGUUGAGGUAUGUAUUUAUCUGUUGGUUGCAUCUGUAAUUGGGACAUGUGGCUUGCUAUCUAUUUCUGCUAAAUGAAUAGAUAAAUCUACGAUCUUUAUCUACAUACAUACAUACAUAUAUAUAUAUAUAUACACUUGCGGUGCUUGGUGGUUGAUGGGUUUCUGGGGUGAAUUAGGAUAGGGUGACCAUGGAGAUGCUUUUGUGUAUGCAACUAAAGUAAAGACUUUUUUUUUUCUCGUGUAUAGCAAUUUCUUAGCCAAGGUUAAUUUAUAUGUUAUUGUUUGAUUUACCACAUUAAGGACUUAAUUUUACUUGUGAAGUAUAUUGGUCUAGUGAAAGAAAAUAAACAUAGUAGUUGAAAAGUCAGUUUAUAUAUUGCAUAGUUUAGUGGACAUGUAUUUUUGGAAGUUGAGUAAGUAGUAUAGAAAUGUUGGUCUCAAACAUUUUGAAGUGUAGCAAAAUGGAAAGAGAGUCGUAUGGGGGAGCAUAUUCUAAAUCCAUUGGUAAUGUGCCUUGGUUGUUACUGACAUGCUUGGUUUGGAUUCUCGAGGAACUUGAUGCUGUUUAAAUUGUGUCGUUCUUGGCAGACUUUAUUUUUCCUAUAUUUUACCUUCUCUUUGUGAAGGUCAUAAUUGAUAUUGUCUAUUUGAGGAUUGUUAUUUAAAGAGGUUGAGUUUUCUUCUGUCCUAAUGAACUGUUUAUUUUCCAGGAUAUUGUAAUCGAUUUCAUUGCUACGUAUGCUGGAAGCAACAUAGUUAUGAUUAAUUCAAAAAAUUCUUUCUACAUGCUAAAUAUCUUUUUAUGGUUAUGAUCUUCUGUUUUGGACUGAAAAGAAGUCUAGCGGACACUUAUUUUGACAAUUUCUAGUUAUUUGGUUUUCUUAAGUUUAGGUAAUUGGAUGUUUAUUCUAGAUUUUCUGAUCUUCAUAGGUCUUAAGUAAGUUAUUUUUCCCUUCAAAGAUUUAUCUUCAUGUAUCACGAAGUAUGUUAAUGUAGUUCUUGGUUCAUCCAUUUUCCUUUUACAUUUUCAAGAAAUAAAUUGAUGAUGUCUUGGAAUCUAAGAGACUGUAGUUGUAGCAUUAUCCAAAAAAACACAUUUGUUAUUCCAUGCUUCAAUUUUUCAUCUGUGGAAAGCCAUGUAUUAUCUUUUCAAUUACUUCUAACGCUAGAAGUUUCAUUCCUAAGAGUGUGUUCUUUUCUUUAUUUGAAUAGAAAACAAUGACAGAAGGAAAAGAUUACUGUGAGCGGAAAAUCAACCUGCUUAAGUCCAACUACGAGCAACUUCUUGAUGUAAGUAUCCAUUUUGUUUCGCUUGGUGGAGUGAGUUCAUUGUGCAAUUUUUGAGCUGUUUAUUUUAUUCUGUUUUGACGUAAAUUCUGCCUGGACAAACCUUCUCGGUGGUUUCAUUUCUGAUUUACUAAGUACCCUAUAUGUAACAAUCCUCCUACCUGGUAUUUCUGUGAUUUGUGAGAUAUUGUCUUAAUCAUCUAUCUAGUGUAACUCAGCCUUCUUUACUUGGUGCGAUAGAUGUGAGAAAAAGUUAAGUGAAAAAAAUUCCUUUUAUGGGUUCCAAGGCGUUCUCAGCCGUGUGUCAUACCACAAAUGUACAAGAAGGUUUUAGAGGGCAUCAUGUGACCUCUGUCAAUGCACAUGCGACACACGCACGCACACAAACUACAUGACUAAACUCAUUAAGAAACAUCAUCAAGAACAGUGUGAUUACUGUCAUAAGCUCAAUUUCUGUUGUGAGGAAGAGUUCAGAUUCUUCAGAAAAAUAAGUUAGCGUAAAAUUCAAAUUUUAUCCCGACUUCAUCUGGAUUCUGGCCUACCAUUGGAAUGGUUCAUUUAUAUUUUAUAGUAUAUUUAUACCUCCGAUUCUUCAGAUUCUUCCCUUCUCUAUGUUGCCGCCUAUUCUGAUUUCGAUUUUUCCUUCUGUUGUGAUGUCGUUGUUCACCUUCCUUCCCGUUUACUAAUUCCAUGUUCUUAUCCUUCUCAUACUCUUUCCGCUUGAUGUUCUCCAGCAACUGACCACUCCUCUACUACUAUUCUUUCCGUGCAUCUCCAAUGUCCUUGCUUGAUAACAAAGAAAGCAAGACAAACAAAUUGAAACAGAGGGACAAUCUGUUGAUCUUUUAACAUAUUUUAUGCUGAUUAUACAACCAACUCUAAUCAUAUUUUUCAUUUGUUAUGGAAAGCACCUUCUUGAUUUAGUAAUCAUUUGUACAAAUGCAGGUAGCGACGAAGAAGAAAAGUGUUGCUGAUGAAACUGGUCUUAUCUUGCAAGCUAAAUUAAGACAACUUGCUCAAGCACAAUAGAAAGGUCAACGCUUCCUUCGUUGAUAACUCAACAAGCUCAUGUGCCUCAAAAGAACUUUAGGAGUACCAAAUUCUGUCUGAAUUAUUAGUGCUUGAACCGUGAAGUAGAAGUUCAACGAUUGUUCAACGUACCUCCCUCCCUUUCACCCUCACUUUUCGUGUUCUUUUUACCUUUCGCGAGAAAUCGUUGAUUGAUGAUCAUCUGUUCCAUUGUAGCAGACAUUUGGUUGAUUACAAGAAGUUUAUGAUUUACAUUGCAAUGUCUUUUGGUGAGUGAAUCAUGGUACAAUUCUACUUUUGCUGCAUCUCAAGUUUCUAUUUCAACUAGUAUGUGUUGAGUGUGUAUUGGAAGACGAAAGUUGUUGUUACGGUAAAAUUAUAACAUAUUCAGUGUAAUUUCACGAGUAAUUGCUGCAUCUCAAGUUUCUAUUUCAACUAGUAUGUGUUGAGUGUGUAUUGGAAGACGAAAGUUGUUGUUACGGUAAAAUUAUAACAUAUUCAGUGUAAUUUCACGAGUAAUUGCUGCAUCUCAAGUUUCUAUUUCAACUAGUAUGUGUUGAGUGUGUAUUGGAAGACGAAAGCUGUUGUUACGAUAAAAUUAUAACAUAUUCAGUGUAAUUUCACGAGUAAUUGCUGCAUCUCAAGUUUCUAUUUCAACUAGUAUGUGUUGGGUGUGUAUUGGAGGACGAAAGUUGUUACGGUAAAAUUAUAACAUAUUCAGUGUAAUUUCACGAGUAAUUGCUGCAUCUCAAGUUUCUAUUUCAACUAGUAUGUGUUGAGUGUGUAUUGGAAGAAGAAAGUUGUUGUUACGGUAAAGUUAUAACAUAUUCAGUGUAAUUUCACGAGUAAUUGCUGCAUCUCAAGUUUCUAUUUCAACUAGUAUGUGUUGAGUGUGUAUUGGAAGACGAAAGUUGGUGUUACGGUAAAAUUAUAACAUAUUCAGUGUAAUUUCACGAGUAAUUGCUGCAUCUCAAGUUUCUAUUUCAACUAUUAUGUGUUGAGUGUGUAUUGGAAGACGAAAGUUGUUACGGUAAAAUUAUAACAUAUUCGGUGUAAUUUCACGAGUCAGAUCGGGAGGAAUUAGUGCGUACACAAAUUUUACCUCUCAUCUUGUAAGGGUAAAAAAUGUCUUCAGUUUAGGACUUUUAAGUCAAAUUUCAGAUAAAUUAAUAUUUUUAUCUCUAAAAAUUACAUUAUGCUAGGGUUUUGAUUUCAAAUUAUUUUUGACAAAUUAUUUUUCUAGGUGAAAUUUUGCUAUGUAUUUAUAGUCAUAAAUUUUCGGAGCAUUUUAUAAUGAGCAUAUUCUGUUAAAAAUAAUAUUAUAACAUUAACGAUAAAUAACAAAACAGACAAAAACACUAUAUUAAUUGCAUACUCAAAUUAGUCACCGAUUCAGAAUUAUAACCUAACAAAAAAAAAUUAUUCUUUUUUCUCAAUUCUCUUAGUAGUUAUUAAUGGAGUAACUUGUUAGAUAAAUAUUAGUUAAAAUUAAUAAAUAAUACGUGUUUUUAUAAAAUAUAAAAUUUGGGAUAACUUUUUAAUCUUUAAAGAUUUCCAGAUAUAAAAACUUGUUCCAAAUACUAUCAUUUUCUAGUAUUUGAAGCUUGGGAUAUUUGUCGAAUAUAUUUACCAAGUAAAUGGCGAAUUUUGUGAUCAAAUAUUAUCGUUUAAGUUUUUCUCAAAUAUAUUGUGAUCGAACGGGUUUUAUAUAUAUUACAAAAUAAAUUGAUAUUUAUUUUAGUUUAUGUGUAGGUUGAAAUUUUAUUCGUAAAUUUAAAUAUAGAAACUUAAGUAUUUUGAAAGAACGUUUUUAUAUUUGAUAUCUAUGUAGAAAUUUAUAUCUAUUUACGCGAUAACAUUUUGAAUUUUGAACAAAUAAAUUUUUAUUUAAUCGUAAUAAUUUUAUAUUUUUUUAAAUAUUUUAAAUAUUAUCAAUUAUUACGAAAUAUAAUACUUUUUUAUGGUAUUUCCAAAUAUAUAAAUCUUAAAAUCUCUCAUAUUUUGGAUUGUAUCAAAAAAAUGGAACCCCAUCACAACUCACCACCGUCCAUCGGCUUCCACCACCACCAUCACGACGGCGGCGCCGGCGGAACCUGCGUUAACUGCGGCGGACCUACCGCGUUCCCAUCACCGCCUCCUGAUCCUAAUCCCAACUACAUCCCCAUCCGUGCUCCGGCCGUCAACCUACCACCAGCCAAUAACAGAGAAAUCAUCAUGCGAACACCAGUUCCUCAAUCACAGAGAGUUGUUCCGUUAACUCCUCCUUACCAUUUCCAAACUCCGAUGAAGAAAAUCCACAACCAAAACGACAUCGUUCAGUUUCAAUCAUCACCUACUUGCCAGAACUUCCUCGGGUUCGUGGUGUUACUAUCGGAGUCUAUUCGUUCACAUAAGCUCUCAGAUCCUUGUCAUGAGUCGUCUGUAGUGUUAGCCAUUGUCUCUGUGCUUGAAACCCUAAGUGUCUACGUUGAUGAGAUCCCUUUAGCACCACAGUCGUCUCGAUACGGGAACUUGGCGUACCGAACGUGGCAUGAACGUAUGAGCUGUGAUGCUGAGUCAUUUUUGCAUCAGUUUCUGCCUCCUGAUCUCCAGUCGGCUACUGUUGAACUUGUUCCUUACUUUACUGAUAGCUUUGGGAACUCCAGCAGAAUUGAUUAUGGUAUGCUUGUUGAAUUUUGUUCCAUUUAUCAAUCGAUUAGCUUCAUUCCCAAAUUAGUUGAGCUCAGCUACGAAUAUCCUUUGCAGAAAUUUACAUAGGCAGUGUUAACUAUGCGCGAUGGAGUGUUGUUGUUUUUCUUAGAGUAACUAGAGUUGCGGAAACUUUUCUUGUUAAACGAUUGGAAAUGAAUACUUGGUUAUGGUUUAGUGCUACUAUUACUGCUCCCGAAUAUAGAAAUGAGUUCAGUUGUGUACUAGUUGGAGGAAAUGUAGUUAAGGCUAAGAUGUGAUUCUAAUAUAAAAUGUUAAUGUUAGUAAUAUAUGAUACAUUCAUUGCAGACUGAUGCUCUGCAGCACCUUUUUCCUUGUGGGAUUGUAUAAUGAUGUGUGAUACAACAAUCCUGUAUAUGGUAGUUCAAACAGAUUAAUAAACUUCAUAAGAAACGGAAGAUGUGUUAUAUAUUGAUCAUAAUACAUGUAGUUUAUUAAAAGAAUCAUAAUACAUGAAGUGUUCAAUAUUAUGUUGCUUUUAAUAUUGUAACAGUUGAAUCGUUGAUGGGUUCUGCCCUUAGCAAACAUUUCACAGUGUUCACCUCAUCUUUCUUAUGAGAUCGUGUUGGUGGAUGUAAAGAUGCAUCAACAGAUAUAAGACAAGUUUUAAUAAUGUUAAGAGGGUAAAAAAUAAAUCAUUUCCCCCUCCGGAAAAAAUUAGUGGGUCUGCCCCUGUUCAUAGGCACAUUUUCAUUUUGUGCUUAUGUUUAGUGAUUGAGCAUGACAACAUUUGUUUUCUUGUUGAGCUGAUUUAUAUUCAGUUUUGAUGGAGAACAACAUAGUAGCCUAUCUUCAGCAUCUGAUUCCUUUUCUUGAUACACCAAUGAUAUAAAAAGUUGCAUGAAAAUGACUGUACUUUUCAAUCUACUUUAAGGAAUUUUCUUCUCCUUUGAUUUGAGUUCUUACUUUGCUGGAUUAUGCUAUAGAACUAUUUUAUACGUUUUAAUAUGCCUCUAGAACCUUUAAGUGCACAUGACUGCUGGCGUUCUAUAACUGGCCUUCUUAGAACAAAUUAAUAUUAAUUCCUAGAACUAAUCACUUCUGUUAUAUAGGUACCGGACAUGAGACAAAUUUCGCAGCAUUGUUGUAUUGUUUAGCAAGAUUAGGAGUUCUGAAAGAAGAAGACUAUCAAGCUCUGGUGUCAAGGGUUUUUGUCAAGUACUUGGAUUUGAUGAGGAAGUUGCAAGUGACCUAUUGCCUAGAGCCUGCUGGGUCCCAUGGGGUUUGGGGACUAGAUGACUACCACUUCUUACCUUUUAUAUUUGGGUCAUCUCAGUUGAUUGAUCACAAGUACAUGAAACCAAAAUCUAUUCAUAACAAAGAUAUCUUGGAGAACUUUGCAAAUGAAUAUCUUUAUCUCUCGUGUAUUGUAUUCAUAAUGAAGGUGAAGAAGGGAGUGUUUGCAGAGCACUCUCCCAUGUUAGAUGACAUCAGUGGUGUACCCAAUUGGAACAAGGUAAACAGUGGCUUACUUAAGAUGUACAAGAUUGAAGUUCUGCAGAAGGUUCCUAUCAUGCAGCAUUUCCUUUUCGGCUCCAUUAUCCAAUGGUAUGCAUCUUAUUUUCACGUUUUUCUCUAUGUUUUAUGAAUAUAUUGGAUAUGGAAGUAUUUCAUUUCCUUAUGGCUUUGCUAGUCUUCAAACUCUCCCUUUUCCGGGGAUUAGUUAGAUUUUUAGUUGUGCAUCAUGAAACCUUAACCAACUAGAGGUAAGUUUACCCUUUACCAUCUUGUCCCAAUUUACUGAUACUUUGUUAGUAUUUGGGAGUAUAAAAUUUUAAACCAUAGUCAAAAGUUGAAGCGUGAAUUUGGGCCUGUUUCGUCAUAGAAUUUUGAUAUGUGGAGUCAAACCACUCCAAGCUGGAACUUUGUUGAUGGCAUGGACAACAAUGAGACGAUGAUAAGGUUAUGAAUGGACAAAGAGCAUGAGGAAGUGCAAAAACAAGUAAUUUCAGCUAGUAUAGGGUUCAAAUUUAAACCUUUUUGCUACUUCAAAAUAAAUUUCAUAAGAGUUGAAUGGCUUGAUUUUUUGUGCAUCUGUUAAAUCAUGCAAGCUUUAAGAAUUUGUCUCAAGUGUUUGAAAGUUUAGAAACUAAUCAUAACUAGUAUAACAUACUAUAAGGAUAAUUUGACAGUGCAUUAUGGUUCUACUUCCUGUGUAACCCAAUUCGGUGUACUUCACAAAUCCCAGGUUAUUAGUUUGUCUCCUGCAGGGUCUCUCCAUUUUGAAUUGUUUUACCAAUACCAGAAAGUGCAGAUCUAGCAUCCCCUCGUAGCAGGAAGUAGAACCAUAAUGCACUGUCAAAUUAUAGAUGUCUAGCUUACGUGGGACACAUUUAAAUAUAGAUGUCUGUGAUUCUCUCUUUGUAGUAUCUCCUAUAAUUCUUGAUCCAUUAUUUUUACAUUAUUAAUCAUGCACCAAGUUUCCCCCUCUUACCACUCUUUAUCUUCGAUGUCAUUAACAUAAUAGUCUUUAUUGGUACAUUUUGGGAGCAUCACUCUAAAGAUAAUGACUAGAUCGAUGAGAUGCAUUGGUAUCUUUUAAUAUAUCAUACUAACAAUAAUGAAUCUUUAACUUCCUCACCUGUUUAUCUUGUAAUUUCACAAGUCAUUAUAUGAUUUCGGGCUUAUUAUAUGAUUCUUUGGCAUCUCUGCAAAUCUGAAGCUUAAUUUCGUUGUUCUUUCAUCCAGGCAAUGAUUCUGAGCCAGGGGUCAGUCAUAUAUAGCUUCCUAUUUAUCAGCAGCUAUAUAGUGAUGGAGGAAACAUUACAUUCUAAUAUUUUCGCAGCAAACAUCUACACCGUUUGAUGCUUUUAAUGUAUCAGCCUGUUAUUCAGAAGCUGUCUUCGUUUUGAUAACGGUGUUGUCUGAGUCAGCUUGCCCGUACCUCGACCAUUCUACCGGAUACCUAUACUACCUUCCACCAGCUUUUUGUCUAGAUUUUGAAUAUUAUUGUUAUAAAAGUGAUGUUGAAGUAAAUUUUUCAUGGCACUAUGUAAAAUUACUCCAGUUGCAGAGUGGUGAUCUAAACUUUUGACAGUUACUUCUUAAUAUAUCUCUGCAAUCCUUGUGAGUUGUGACAAAUACCAAGAAAGUACAACACUUUUUUUUUCAUUUUACUUUUCUUUUUAGUCCGUUAAAAAAAUUUGUCAUUCCGUUUUUGGUGAUUUUGUUUAUAUUAAUCUGAAGGAGCAUACUCUCUUGUGAAACUGUAUGUUCUUUGUCUCAUCUUCAGAGUAAGAUGUUUCACAAGCUAUUUUUCGUAAAACGAAAGGAGAUUACUCGAGUGGCUCAAUAAUUUGGGCUUGGAACUUCCAUGUUAGAGGUCUCGAGUUCGAAAUCCCUUACCAGCGAAAGCAAGGGUUUUGACUUCUGGGUUGAGCUCGUUGCAUCGGGCUUGUUGAGCAUGGGUUAUCUCUCCUAUGUGGUUUUGCCAGCGAAAGCAAGGGUUUUGACUUCUGGGUUGAGCUCGUUGUAUCGGGCUUGUUGAGCAUGGGUUAUCUCUCCUAUGUGGUUUGCGAUUUAUUGCAUAGGAGCGGGGUUUUUAACCUAUGCGCACCCAAAGGGUAGCGACUGCGGAUUUUUUCUGUCCUAAAAAAACAAAAGAAGAUUUAGCAAUGCAGGAAUAUGAUAUGUCGUGAAACUAAUUAAGGUGUGUAAAUUGAAUUUAACACCACAAUUAUCUAAAUAAAAAAAUUAACAACUAUUAAAAUUCUUUAUUUUUGACCUAUGAUUUGCAAUGAAAAUGAGAAAAUCACUAAUGAAAGAGUGAAUAGGUUUGACAACAAUAAGCAACUUGAUUAUAAUAUAUUGAAAUUUUGCAAAUAGUAAUUCAAUAACCAUAUGUUUCUUUUUCCUAUUUAUUUUCUACUCUUCUCCCUCUUAGGUAAAUAUUGGGUAAAGAAACAAUACACUAAUAAACAAUUGAGACUUUAUUAAAUCAAUUAAAUUUUUAAUAUUCAAACAGGACGAUAAUAAUUUGAUAUAAUUAACUCAUCUAAAUAUUAUUCGUGCAUCACAUUUAAAAAAAAAGAUAACCCAACAAAGUAAAAUUCAUAUUUAUACAAAAUUCAAGCACAUUUCAAUAAAUGUAAUAUUUGUUUUUACAAUUUAAAUUCUAAACCUAUAUUAGGUCACAUAAAAUUCUAAUACCAUCAAAAGUAUCUAUUUCAUUUAAUAUUUUUAAUUUAAGAAGUCAAUUAUUACAAUUUUCUUUUUUAUAUAUAUAAAAGAAAAAAGUGUAAAAGAUAUUAAAGCAUAAUUUUUUUUAUUAAAUUUUCCAAAAAAGGCAUAUAUACCAAAGCCUAAUAAAAUCAAGAAAACAGGGUUUUUCUCUUCCCCCUUUCAUCUUCUGCUAAAACCUCUCAUCUUCCUUUUCAAGAACAAACCUUUACACCCCCCCCCCCACCCCCAUUUUCACUCAUACUCUGCUACCCCAGAUACCCUUUUCAGUCAUAUGAAUCAUAGUGUCAUCAGUUGUCUGUAUCUCUGCAAAUCUUCUUGAAUUUUUUUGAGCAUUUGGGGUUGUAAAGUUUGAAGUGUUUGGUUAUUAAAGAUUUGUUUUUUUGUUAAUCAAUUUGUUAAAGAAAAUGAAACAAAGGGUUGGAUUUGCAUUGAUUAGAGAAAGCUUGUAUCGUAAGCUAAUAAAACCAAGCGCUGCUCCUCCUAGACAUUAUUGCACUUCUUCAGCUAAUGUUCCUCCAUUACCUAAGGUUCCUCAUUCUUCAAAAAAGGUACUUUCUUUGUUAUGUUUAUUCUAUUUGGUUUUUAUAGUUUUGUAUCUUUAGAGUACUAAUUUAAUAAUAAAGGUAAAAAAAAUUCUUGGUGAGAAGUAUAUGAUAGAGUUACUUGGUACCUGUAUUGGUAUGAGGUAGGAAUUAUCGAGGUGCUUGCGAGUUAUCCGAGAUACCAUAGUUAUAAAAAAGAUCUUUGUUUUCGUAGAGUACUAGUUUAGAGGUGCUGUGAAGAAUAGGAUAGAGUUGCCCGGUACCUGUAUUCGUAGGAGCCAGCAAGUAGCUGGUGGAAUUAGUCAAGGUGUGUGCAAGUGCAAGUUGUCGGGGAUACCGUUGUUAUAGAAAAAAGUUCUGUAGAGAAUGUUAUUUUCUUAGACUACUAGUUUAAUUAUAGAGGAAUUUUCUUGCUAAGAAGUAUAGGACAAAGUUAGUGGAUACAUCUAUUGGUGGGAGGUAGCAGGUAACCUGUGGUGUUAGUCAAUGUGCGUGCAAGCUGUCCCGGAUAUCAUAGUUAUAAAAAAAGUUAUAUAGAGAAUCUUUAUGGUUGAAAUAGAGUGAUACAAAUGGCCAAAGUUUGUAUUUGAUUGUUAUAUGAUUGGAUUUUAAGUAACUUGUCAUAAAAAAGGUUAGAUUUUGACAGAAGAAUUUGGACUCACUAUGAUAAAUCAUGCAGUUAAGAAAAAUAGGUAAGUUCUAAUGACAUAGAAAUGGGACAUGAAGAAGUAUUUAAUUUCUUCUUUUAUCAGUCUAAGUUGGGGAUUUGAAUUAUUCUGGGUGUAUCUUCUUAUUUCCUGAAACACUCAUGAAUUUAUCAGUGGAUUUGAUUAUCUUAACCAUGUCGAGUAAAUGAAGUAACUCAUUUAUUAGAAACAACACUUAUCCUUUUUUUCGAGAAUAUUGGAAGUUCCAUACGGAAUUUCCACAAUUUUAGUACUGUUGGCCUGAGUGUUAGAAGUUGGCAUAUGAUAAUUGCCUAUGAGUGCACGAGCUGUAAUCAAAUUUACUCAUGCUUUUACAAGGAUUAGUAAUUUCUUCAGCCUUGUUCUUGUAUUUCAUAUCAGUAUCUUGGUUAAAAUUGUAGGGAAGGUUGCUAACAGGAGCCACAAUUGGUCUACUAAUAGCUGGGGGAGCUUAUGCAAGUACAGUUGAUGAGGCCACCUUCUGGUACUGAAUUUAUAUCUUUGAGAUAUUUACUUUUAAAACAGUGGCUAUAGAACAGUUGAGAGACAAAUAAAUGCAUGGGUGCUGUACAGAUUUCUUUUCAUGAAUCCUGUUGUGAACCAAACAAAGAAAAUUAAAUGGUAAUGUAGUGUAAUUUUUUUGGGCACAUUGGUUGGAUGUACACACACAGGCACACACAAGAAGCAAAAGAAAACGGUACACUUACAUUUUAGUGUACCUGCAACUUCUCAUCUAAGACAUUCUUCCGAUAUGGAUUAUGAUAUUUGUGAGGAUGCAUGAAGCUUACUGUUCUUCUUUGGACUUCAGCAUAUCUAGAUGUGAGACUCAACCAAGGCCAACGGUUGUAGGAUUCCAGUUCAGAGAUAAUUUUUGGCUUAUCAACUCAAUAACAUGUCUCAGGAAAGGAGGAGAGAGAUAAUAAAGCUGCCAGCAUUUUUCGUUUUUAUUUUUGGUCAAUACUUCUCGCUUUUUGCUUUUCUAGAGGGGUGUGGCUGGGGUCAGAGAUGAGUUUUACAUUUUUUCACUGGAAGAAACACUCUUAGUAGACAUUAGAUGUGGAUGGUUCAGCAAAUGUUUUGAGGGAUCUGGUCUAUAUCUUGUUCUCCAAUCCCCAUACAGAGAAGCCACCCCCAGUCUGUUCAUUCUAAGAGUUGAAGCAACUUACAAAAAAAAAAAAAAGACAACUACGCCUCAGUCCCAACUCCCAAGCAGGUUGGAACGACCUAUAUAGUUCAUGAAAAUGCUUCCCUUAGUUGCUCGUGAGAUGGAAAGAGAAAAUGAUGCUAGUUGGUGCUUUAUACAUGUGUUGGCUUAAAACUGAACUUAUGAGGAUAUGUGUGAUUGUUGUUUCAUGGGGGUGCUACCUUAGAAGUGGUUCCGCAGUGAUAAAAUUGCUCAGUUGUGAGUAUUUAUUUAUUUACUAGAUAUGUAAUGAAUUUAUUGGUGUGGGUGGAUACCUUGUGUACAAGUGAUACACAGAAGAUAGAGAACCUGCAUGAUAUGGUUCUCUUCUACGGUUAUGCGUCUCCCUUGAAAAUUGACCAAAACUGAGUAGAGGGACCUCAACUGUAUAAAUUUACUUUCUGCUCCUUCAAAGGCUGUUUUGUUGUUCUUUCUUCAAAGCACCCACAUAAGUGCCAAAGGAGCUGUAUUCCAUGCUCUGCUCUGCCUUCUCCUUAUGAAGGCGUAGCAGUGGUUUACAUUUCCAAAUAAUCAUUUAUUUGGGGUUUGAGAAUGAUGUUUCCUUAAAUUAGAAGGAAUUGGUUUGUUGCCUAUGAUUUCUGUUGGCUUCUUCAAUUAGAUCCAUUUUCUUGCCUACGGUAGAACAGAAAAAGGAUAUUGGUGUGCUUCAAUGAGCUUGUUGGUUUGAGUUACUUGAAUGUUAUAGGUGCAAAAGAUUUCUAAUCAUCAUACAUAUAUAAGCAUAUUUGUAUCUGCAGUUUGAUUUGUGAGAUAAUGUUGACAAUCUUCUGUAUCUUGUUGGAUUAUUUAAUUAUAUCGAACUAAUUCCAGUCUUCCCUCUCUCCCUUUGUCUGAACUGUAUCUAUUGUUGUUUAUUACAAGGUUUGGGUGAAAUUUACAUUUAUGUUCCAAAAUACGUGCAGUGGCUGGCUAUUCUCAGCAACAAAGCUUGUAAAUCCAUUCUUUGCAUUUCUGGAUCCAGAGGUUGCUCACAAACUGGCAGUCUCUGCUGCAGCCCGAGGAUGGGUUCCAAGGGAGAAGAGGCCUGAUCUUCCUAUAUUGGGCCUUGAUGUAUGGGGAAGAAGGUUCUCAAAUCCUGUUGGUCUUGCUGCUGGAUUUGACAAGAAUGCCGAGGCCGUUGAAGGCUUGCUUGGAUUAGGUUUUGGUUUUGUUGAAGUUGGCUCAGUAACGCCCAUUCCACAGGAUGGCAACCCAAAACCACGUAUGUUUAGGUUGCCAAAUGAAGGGUAAGAAUGCAUGUCUAAUCAGAUUGUGUCCAACUCACCAUCAACACCUGUUAUGUUUUCUGAUCUUGAACUAUUCUUAUUUCUCUUGUGGUUUUCCCAGUGAAAUUCAUUUCUAUAUCUUUAAUAAUUAAAAAGCUUGAUGCUUAUCAAAAAUAAAAAAAGAAGAUCAAAAUGCUUGAUUCUGGAAGUUGUAAAAGUAAGAAUCCUUUGUUUGGUGGCAGUGCUUUAAUCAAUAGGUGUGGCUUCAAUAGUGAAGGAAUUGUUGUGGUUGCCAAAAGAUUGGGUGCUCAGCAUGGUAAGAGAAAGUUGGAAACAUCUAGUACUUCAUCUCCAGCAGGAGAUGAAGUCAAGCAUGGAGGGAAAGCUGGUCCUGGUAUUCUUGGUGUUAACCUUGGAAAGAACAAGACAAGUGAAGAUGCUGCAGCAGAUUAUGUCCAAGGAGUUCAUACAUUAUCUCAAUAUGCUGACUACUUGGUAGAUGUCUGAAACUAUUAUGUGUCUUUUGUUUGGAUAUUUGCAUGCUCUUGGAUUACACCUGUUUGGUACUCCUUUUUGUUUUAUGUGUUUGUGUAAACUUAUGUGCUUUUGUGAUCUAGUUUCUACAAAUGCAUACAAAAUCUUUUUUUUAUUUAAUUAACUUCUAGAAUGAAGAAAAACUAUGUAUCAGAUUGCCAUGUUGCAGGCUGAAGGACCAGGACAUCUUAUCUUUUUCUAAACACCCAUUAGACUAAUAUAUGAAGGUUUGAAAAGAAUCUCCUACCCACCCACACUCCAAAGAGAGAAUUACGGACUGCUAAUUUCAUAAACUUUUCUGUGUUUGUUAUAUUUUCUGAUAUUUUACAUGUGGUGUUUUUGGCAAUGUCACUUUCCAUUUUAUCAUUCGAUAGAAGCGGAAACAAACAUAGUAAUUGUUUUUUUAAUCUUUGAGAACAAUUAGGUAAAUUUUCUCCAAGUUAAUUCUCUUGAUGAAGGAUACAUUCUCUACCAGCUUCCAGAAACGCCUCCCUAGUAUUGUUUAUAAGACUGAUUCAUAGUCUCCUUGACUGUUUUAGGUAAUUAAUAUCUCAUCCCCAAAUACUCCAGGACUACGCCAACUUCAGGGAAGAAAGCAACUGAAGGAUCUUGUGAAGAAGGUUUUUGCCUGGUGCCUUUCUGUUAUAUUGUGCUAGUUUACAUAUGGUAAUGUUAAAGACCAUGUCACCAAGUAUUAGAUUAAGUCCUUUCAGUAUCUUUAUAUAGGUCCAGGCAGCUCGUGAUGAAAUGCAGUGGGGUGAGGAGGGACCUCCGCCUUUACUUGUAAAAAUCGCUCCAGAUUUGUCCAAACAAGAUCUUGAAGAUAUUGCAGCGGUAUGGAAGUAUUUCUACUCAUAUAUAAACUAGCUUGGGAUUGAUGUGUAAUCUAAGGGGGUGUUUGGAUUUGCUUUUCAAGUGACUUGCAAGUUAAAAGCCAAAAGUCAUAAGUUGGGAACCCCCAACUUUUGACUUUUGAUUUAUUUUUUUUGGGUACUUUUUCAGCUUAAAAGCACUUUUUGUGUAAAAGUGCUUAAAAGCCAAAAGUCACUAACAAUAAAUCAAUCCAAACACCUACUAAGUUGCGCAGACACUUCCCUUUUGCUGCCAGACGCAUGUCCGAUUCUACAAAAAUACACUACUUUACUUUUGGAGAAUCUGACACGCGCCUGUUGACAUUUUUGAAGAGUCCGAGCAACAACGGUUUUAGCAGUUGUUGAUUUGUUCUUAUGGCUUGUUCUCUUUCUACUAUUGUAGGUGGCUCUUGCUCUUCGUGUGGACGGACUGGUACAGUUUUAAAGAGAACUUUAGUAUUGUUUUUUUGCAUUUUUUAAUAAGUUAAAGUAAGUCCCUUAGUGUUGGAUUUCAAGCAGCACUUUGGUGUUGGGAGAUUCAUGAUGACAAUAUCUUAUUGGUUUCUGACUAUACCUAUCCAGAAAGGAAGUAGCUACUUGGUUUGUGACAUUGAGCUUAUAUUGACCAACAGUUUAUUCUAUGUUGGGACUUGGGGUUCUGUGGUUCGCUGUUUAAUUUAUCCUCAAAUAAUUAUUAGAAGUUGAGCAACUGGUCUCUUGUACUAUAAUAUUCACAUUUAAAACUUUUAUGAUCUUGGCUUUUCUAUAGAUAAAAUGGAUUAGGAUUUUCAUGAUUGGCACCAAGGUGUUGCCACUCAGUAGCAAUAAGAAUUAAUGAUGUAUUAGCCAAAAAAAAAAAGAAAGAAACAAAGCUUGGCAUCGAGCUAAACUAAGUUAAUGGCAAUUCAUGUUUUUGUGUGAACCAUUUCUUAUUAAUUUUCUUGUGCCAUUCUCAUUGUGUCAAAUAUUGAGUGUCUAUCCAUGAAGAAAUGAUUUUUCGUAGGAGCAUUCCCUACCCCCCCCCCCCCCCCCCCAACUCCUCAAAAGAAAAGAUAGCAAAAAUAAAACCCAGAGACACGAGUAGGUAUGACGAGCUUUAUGCUUUCCUUGUUUUCAUGUUUGACCACCUGCAUUCCGUGAAACAUUUUAUUUUCUUUAACAUAAAUACCAACAUUCUAUGCUUGAUGCUUGUAGAUUAUAUCAAAUACUACAAUCCAAAGACCGGAUUCAGUUAGUCAAAACCCUGUGGCACAAGAGACUGGUGGCUUGAGUGGGAAGCCACUCUUUAAUAUGUCAACAAAUAUACUUAAGGAGAUGUAUCUUCUGACUAAGGUAUGUGUAAUGUCCCGUUGUAUCUGGAAUAUGUGCAUGUGCUAGUUAUCAUAUUGGAGUGGAACAGUUGGAUUGGUUCUUUUUGGUCCUCCCUGUGUCUUGUUGCUGUAUUUAAAUUGAUCCAUGUCAAUGUUCUCCUAAAAAAAGUUCUCUUCAAUUUUCUUUUGUAAUUUUUCCUGUUAUAGAAAUAACACAGAUUCCUUUUAACUUUUACUACAUAAAAUUGUAAUGUAUGGAGUACAACUUCAAGUAUUCAUUGUUCUAUUGAGUAUGAUAUAUUGUAUUCUUAUAUUUUUUUUGUUGACUUUUCUGCUGCUCAAAUUUUAACCUUGAAUAAUUCUUUCAUUUGAUUAUUUGAGGUGAAACUAUCUGCAUAUUGCUCUGUCCACUUCUGUCUCUAGCUACAUUUGUAACCUCAGCAUAUGACAAAAACAAUAUCUUCCGUUGUCUAUAUUUGAUGCAACUGAUAACCUCAUUUGUUUGUUCUAACAGGGAAGGAUUCCUCUCAUUGGUUGUGGAGGUAUUAGCAGGUACUCCAUUCCCUCGUCCAUGAUUGUAACAAGUAUUAACAUCUUUCAUUUCAUUAGCAAUUCUGGUAAGUAUUUGAAUACUUGAAUUAUGCAUUUCUUGCAGUGGCGAGGAUGCUUACAGAAAAAUUCGAGCUGGUGCGACUCUUGUUCAGCUUUAUACAGCAUUUGGAUAUGGAGGACCUGCACUUAUCCCCAAUAUUAAGGUAUAGGUUUUUCAUGCUCAUUAAGUUCUGAAUAUCUAUCAUAUAUUCUUUCAUUAGAGUUUCUAUAAAUAAUACGAAGUAUAGAAGAAAUAUAGUACAAGAUGAAACCCUGAUUCUAACCGAACAUGCAUUCCAAAAGUUCUCUUACCUUUCAUUCAUGGGAUCGAGGCAGAUUUUCAAGUUGGGACAUUUUGUUUUUCUUAUUCGCUUUUAGUUUUUUUUCUUUUUGUUAGUGUAGACAUAAAAGUUUAUUCAUAGAAUCAUGAUUAGCUACGGGGUGUAAAGAAGGAGAGAUCCUUUCUAUUCCUCUUUUGGCUGGGUCAAAGUUGUGAGGGCCGAUGGUGCCAGCAGAAGAAGAAGGAUAAGGGAAUAGGUAUAUACCAUGUUGAUAUCAUGCACGAGGUAAUAGGUAUAUACCGUGUGUGUGCUACUCCAUGGAGAACUGAAAUAUAACCACACGGCUGAUUGAUAAUCCAUCCCCUAUUUUACAAGACUAGAUUGACAUCAAGCAUUAGGUAAACCAAUCUGAAGUCGGAAUUUCCUCUUUGAGGUUCCAUUAGCUCAAGAAACUCGCAUUUUAAAGUGGUUCGUUCCUACCCCCUUCUUUUCAGGUGCUUUUGUGCGUGUGCUGUAGCAUCUUUUGCAGACACUUCACCCAGUUACAUUGCAUAGUGUUGUGUCUUUAACCUGGAAAUUGGCAUAGAAAAAUCUCUUUUAUCCCUACUAUAACUUGAUAUUUGAUGGAUUCGCCGGAUAUGGAUGUAAAUAGUGCACAGGAUUGUUGAGGAAAGUGCUCAUUCAACUCCAAUUUUAAUCCUUUUUGAGAUAAACUGCUGCUAUAAAUACGAGCCGCUUAAUCUUCCACUAACCUAGGUUCAUUUUUUCCAGCUCUCAUCUGCAAACAAAAACAUACUCUGCUCUCUUCUUGCAAUAAAAUCACUUUCUUUUUUUCUACUCUCACUUGUAGAUUAACGAACAUUCUGCUCACGUAUUGCAACACUCUCUCUUUCUAUAGGCUGAACUCGCGCAAUGCUUAGAAAAGGAUGGUUACAAGUCAAUCCAUGAAGCUGUUGGAGCAGACUGCAGAUAGUUUUUGCUGUUGUCAUCCAGUCAUUUGAGCUCGAGGGGCUGACUACAUUUUUGCCGCAGUCUUAAUAAAACGAAAAUUUUGGUGCCUUCCCAUUUUGCCUCGUACAAUUUGCUACAUUAUUUGUGAUGCCUUUCAAAAAAUUUAGAUGUUUAUGGUUUACUUGUGGCAAGUGACUCAUUUUUUUCUUAAUGUAACAUAGUAACAAAAUUUUGGAUCUUUGGUUGAUAUUUGUCUUUGAUAUGGGAGUUGAAUCCACAAAAUACAAAGUGAAAGGUAAUGGUGAAUUCUUGCUCAUAGUUUCUCUUUAGUUUUCUUUCCUCUAGCCGAGGGUCUAUUAGAAACAACUUUCCUACCUCGUGAAGGUAGGGAUAAAAUUUGCGUACGUACUACCCUCUUCAGUCUGCUAAUUUACGCGGUUCUCAUUCCUUCCAAACUGAGAAGAUCAAGCAAAGUGUUAGGAAAAAUUGUGUCAAGUGUGGGCAUUUUUCGUGUGUAUUAAUACAUGGAUAGUGCAGAAUAAGGUGCAAGUAUUGAGACGAAACAAGAGCGCGAAAAAUAGGUAUAACAAUGUGAUUUGUAUUGUAUCGAUUUGACAAAUACAACGUUCGAAUAUAUUAUGUCAUUUACAGUUGUUACAUAAUAUCACACACCAGCAAUUUGAAUGAUAAAAGGUUACGGAGUAAAGCUAUUAUAAAAUGUAAAGUAAAGGACAACAAAAUUAUAGAUCAUGAGUAAAAAAUAAAAUGAUUAAGCAAAAAAGGCAACAAUAUGAUUACAUCAAAUCAAACAUUAUAUAAGACGAGACUUUUCAUCGGUUUAACAAUAAGUACCAAUCAAAACAAACAUCAUAUUUAAAUUAACAACAUAAUACAAUACAAUAACAACCCAUAUAAGCCAGAUUCGCUCCAUGUACCGCUAGGAAGGAGACAUGAUCAACAAACCUGAUUGGAUUCAGAUUGAGAUAUCAACGCUCAUUCUUAACCAGUUUCGAUAGAAUGUCAUGAAAGGGGGGAAACGCUCCCUACCAACACAUAAUUGUUUAUUUAAUGGUGGCAAAAGCUAGUAAAUCUUGAUUUUGUUCAAACUCUAACAUAUGUUUUGCCUCCAAACAAAUCCAAGCUUCUAUCCCACCAUCUAUAGAAUCCAUUAGCAAAAUCAUAUUUUUAGAGUAAAGUUCCAUAAUACUCAUCCAUUUUGGCUUCCCCCAUCCAAAAUUUGCUUCAUAAAAUGGCACACCACACCAACUAGUAAAAUUAUACAACUCAAUAUCACUACUUCUUGAUAAAAUAUCUCCAAUCAUUUUCCAAUUUUCAAUUAUAGGAUCUAAAGCCACAUCCCAAUUUAAACUCUUUGUACCAUUUUUACUAUAAGGAAACUCUAAUAAACUUUUUCUAACUAUAGUCACAAGAUUUGGUAACUCAUUAAUGUCACUCUCACUUUUUGUACACAAUGAAAAGCCAAGAAAAUUUCCAAUAGUCCCACUAGGCAAUGAAGGUACAAGUCUUUUCCUAACAUUCACUACAUGUGAUAAGUAAGACGUACCAGAGCUGCUUUUAGAUGAGACAGUCGCACAUUUCCAUAUGAGAGCUGACACGGCUUCAACACGCGUAGGGCUAGGUACAUCCUUAGAUAAAGCUUUAGUCUUGAGAUUCGCGAUGCUAGGUCCAUUAAACAAGAAGAUCUUCGAAACGAGUUGUUGUUCAUUAAAAACAAAGUUAGUGAAUGGUGAUGGAUAGGGUUUUUGGGUAGGUGGGAAGAUUUUGACCCCUGUUUUAAAAUCAGGGGUCAGUAAUAACUGGGCAUCCACUGCUCCUUCCCGAGCAGUGGAUGCCCAGUUAUUGAUGAGACUACAAAUAGACGUAGCGUCGGAUAACUUAUGAGAAACCCAACAACCUAGAAUCAUGCCUCCACAUUUAAAGAAUGUGACUUGAACAAUCAACAAAUGAGUUUGCAAUAGUGAAUCAAGUGUUGGGAGAAAGUGUCCACAAGUGUUUGUUUUAAUGCCUGAGAGAAGAAUAUCUUCUUGGAGAUUAUAGUUAUGUGCAAAAGCUUCAAUAAAUAACACACCAAAAUCAUCAUUAUUGUGAUUAUUGAAACUUAGUGAAGUGUUUUCAUUGAUUAAUCUACCAGCAAAUGGAUAAAAAUCAGAUAAAAUUUUGGAUAAUGAAUUUUUUAGUUGUUGGGAUUUUGUUGAUAUGUUGGUUGAUUCUUGAUCAUCAUUUGGAUAGUAUAGAAAGAUUGGAUAGUGAGGAAGGGGAGCAAGUUGAUCUAGAGCUGAAAAAUUGAAGGAUUCAAUAUGACAAACUUUAGGUUUUAUCAAAUUUUGUGAUGUUAUCUCUACUUUUUUCUCCAUGGCUAGUGAUAUUUUUGUCUUAAUAAGUUUGGCAAUGGCUUUAUAUAGCGGAGUCCGAAGAGUAGGAUGUAUGCAGAUCCUACUGAUCUUAGCUCAAAGGAAGUAAUCGAAGUAGGCAAAAGGUUGAUCUAGGAGUGGGAGAGGGUGUUCACCAGAACUCUCUCGAUUAUACUGUGUAUCUAAGAUUAUUUAUUUUAGUGAGUAUAUAGAUUUUGUAUCUCCUAAAUACAAGAGUAAAAGGUUGAAUCAAUGAUACAAGUGUUCCAAGAAAGUACGUCUUUAUUUUUUCGAACCCCCUUAAUGAAAAUCUUGAUUUGCCACCGAAAGCAGAACUAAUAUUUUUUCGAACCACCUUAAUGAAAAUCUUGAUUUUACAACCGAAAGCAUAAUUAAAAGGAGAUAUUCAUGUGUAUGUAUAGUUGAGUUUGAGUGUUUGACUUGGAUACAUCAAUAGUUGAAAAUAGAUUACCUGGUACCACACGAAAAAUGAUAAAAUAGUUUAAAAGAUGUUUAAACCCUAAGUUCAUUAUUACUAAAAUGUGAUUGUGAAUGGAGGCGGAACUAGGAUUAAGAGUUUACGAUUCUAAAUUUUUUUUAGAAUCGUCAAUCAAUUUUGUUAGGGAUUUACAAAUUAAUAUACUUAUAUAUUUAAUGAAAUUUCUAGUACAAAUAUAAGAUCGUGAGUAGUUCUUUCUUAAUAUAUCCCACCUAGCUCCGUCUCUGAUCGUGAAUAAUUCUUUCUUAAUAGCAUCGAUAAUCGUAACCUAAAGUAAAAUGAUGUAACUUGUUAUAAUAGGUCAAAACUAUACUAACGAUGAAAGAAUUUAUUGUAUUAUCCGUUAGUAUAUAUAAUUUAAAAUUAUAUAAUUUAAUCGUAGAUGGCUAUAUUUUCUAAAUCAACAAAAGUAGGUGAGAGACAGCAUCCUAAUAAAAAAAAAUUGCUAAGUUCCAAUAUAUUUUUGUUUCUACCUAGACAUACAAUAAAUAUCUUCUUUUUUUUUUAAUAUUAGGGCGAAAUAACAAUUUCUGAUGAAUAUUUAUUAUUUGAAUCGAAGAAAAACGCUCGAUUCAAAUAAAGUAAUUUAAAAUAGAUAUGAAAAAGAAAUAUUAUAUAAAAAUAAUUUUUAAAAAUAAUAGAAAGGGGAAAUAAUAAUAGUAAUAGCAAAUAGUAUAAUAAUUGAAGCAAAGGAUACAACAGGUGAUGAUAAUAAAAAACUAAGAAAUAAAAUAAUAACCUAAAGUACAAAAUAUAAACUAAGAAACAAAAUAAUAACAGAAGUACAAAAUAUACUUUAGUUUUUUGCCGUAAUAAUAAAUUCAACUAUUUAAUUAUGGAACAUUUAAAAAUAUCACUUCUUCCGUUUAAAAAAGAAUGACAUACGUUCUCAUUUAGAGCCGGCCUAGAUUGACUUAAAAAUUUUAAUCAAACAUAUUUUGAAGUCAUUUUUAACUUCUAACUUUGAGAGUGUUUGACAAAGUUAAAAAUAAGUUUGCGUAACUUGAACAAAAUACUAAAAAUCAAAAGUAGGAACUCUUCUUUUUUUUCUAUUUUAUUGACUUAAAAACUACUUCCUUUAGUCAAUCCAAGUCGGCUUUUAAUCUGUUUCGGAAAAAAAUGACCGACCCACAUUUUAAUUUCACCUUUCGAGGUAACAUAGGAUGUCACAAAUUUAAACGUCAAUCAUUUGAUAUAACUUUAAUUUUAAACCACAAAAUUGAAAAGUAUUAUGUUUUUUUUAAAAUUUCGUGUCAAAUCAAACUAGGUCAUUCUUUUCGAACUCUUCUUUCUUUUCUAUGUUUUUUUUACUUAAAAACUACUUUAUUUAGUCAAUCCAAGUCGGCUUUUAAUCUGUUUCGAAAAAAAAUGACCCACAUUUUGAUUUCUCCUUUCCAUGUAACAUAGGAUGUCACAAAAUUAAACGUCAGUCAUUUGAUAUAACUUUAAUUUUAAACCACAAAAUUGAAAAGUCCAUCAUGAUUUUUUUAAAACUUCGUGUCAAAUCAAACUAGGUCAUUCUUUUUAAAACGAAAUGAAUAAAACUAUAACAUAGUCCUUUGGCUAACUAGAUCUAAAUAGCUAUAUAAAAAGUUAUACUAAAGUAAAAGCUUUAGGAAGCAAAUUAUUUACACUGAUGAUAAUGAAUCAAACCACAUCUAAUAAUUCACUAGCUUUUCUUGUGUUUAAUCAAACAUUAAAGUUUUCAUGCCAAAUUAAAUAAUUCAUUCAAAUAUAUAAGAGAGGGUAAACAAGUGCAAAGCUUCAUUUUUUUUAAAAAAAAAUCUUAUGUUUGCUCAAAAAAGAGAGUUAACUAAGCUAACAGACAAUGAUAAUCUCAAUGUUGAUAUCAAACAUAUUUGCCUGGGAGGGGAGGGUUUCCUGUCAAACAGUAAGUGAACCAAAUGAAUGUUGGAUCAUCUUUCUUGAUCGAUCAAUACGUAGAGACCAUUGUCAAAAAUUGUCACCAUAAUCGAACAGCUCAAGGCCCCGGGGCAUCAAAAGCAGCACAGUUUGAUAAAUGAACUUAUAAAUACUUCAUGGAACCAACGCGACAAAGGAUUCCCAGGAAGAAAAAGGCAUGGUAGAUGAUGCUCUGGCAAAACAUAAAUUAGAGGUGUGUUUAUUUUCAGGUAAAAGGGGAGGAAAAGCGAGAAGGGGGCGUAUAAUUAUAGUGUACCGUGAAACCUGACUAUAGGAAACUCUGCAUGUCAAGCUCCAAGAAGGAGCAGACAUCUGGAAUGUCAUACUCCUUGAGGACCUGAAACCAAAAGCCAAAACAUAUAACUCUGGAAUCGGGAUCUGCUAAUCAGGUUAUUACGGGUGGCCUCAACGUGUGUCAAUUAACAGUAGAUAGUCAAACUGUCUAAAGACGAAACUAUUAGGUGAAUCAGGCUGUUAUGGCAUGCUAAUAAUUGUCGUUCUGAAAUUGCUAUCGGUUGUACCCUCCAAAGGCAUUAUUUGAGGUGGUCAUUGUAAUGAUCUGUAAAACCUAUGCAAGUGCACAUUUUAAUCAUGCAUCCAAAUGAAAAAUGCAGAUAUGGAUUUCCUAUAGCCUUACAAGAAGGGUAAAAGAAUUAUAUAGGACUUAACCAAACUCAAGAUGCUUUAAAAUGCAAAUAGAAGUAAUCAGAAUAUGUUCCUAAUUACUAAUUGACAAGUCUCAUGCAUACAAAAUCAAUGCAUAAUAAGUGAAUACCUUAGGGUGCACAAUGCCGAAUGUUCCAAUUUGCUUUCCUCCAUAAAUAACGUUAGCCUGUCUUCCCUGAAGAAAUGCAGGCUCCUAUGACACAUUAAGACAGAAAUAAGCACACUGAGCAAUACUCAUAAUGAAAUGAAAGCAAGCAAAUUGGCAAAAUGCAAACAAUUACCUCUGAUUUUUCUAUGUAGUAGCCUGUACUGUUUCCAGGUGAUACAAAAUUAGUGCCAGUUGCUUCCAUGAUUUUGUCAACUAGACCAUGUAUUAGCUGGGGAAAAUGUGAAGAGUCAAAUGAGUGCCUAGAAGCUAGUGCACAACCUAUAGAACUAUUAUAAUUAUACAUACGAGUCUGAUAGUAGUAAUCAAAUCAUUUCUUGGAAGUCAGAAGAUUCAAGUUCAACUCCAAAUAUUCUUAUAGUAGAACUUCACAAUAAGAAAAUAGCAGUAUAUAUGUUAUUCAAGAACCUUCCAAAGUUUGGUCCUUGUUCUCCAGAAGAACAUAGUAGUUGUGGAUGCAUAAGCUCAGAGUUUGCAGAAAUUAUCACAGCACAACUGAUGUUGAAGCAGGAUAAGAAAUCAUUCUGCCAACUAAGCUAACGAUGGACUUCUCCAGAACUCUCUCUGUGCAUACAAAGAGUUCUUACUAAAGGAGAGCAGUACUUGCAACCUAUUCUAAGUUCUAAAUAGCACAAGACUUGAGUGGGAGUCAACUGCUUAAGGCAUUUUGAAGGCUACGCGUAUUGUAUAUUUGUUUAGUUGGUCCAAGUUGUAUCCAGCUGUAAAUGCAGUACAACUUCAGGAUGUUAUGAACUCACUAGUUCUGCCUAAGAUAGUUUGUUUAGUUAGCCAGAAAGUUAUUGUCAGCUCAAACGCCAUAUCUAGUAAUUCUUGCAUCUUCUUAAUGCUGUUACUAAUACCACUUACUUUAUUAAAAAAAAAAAAGAGCACAAGACUUGAGAACGAAAUGCUUGUACUGAUUAUUAUAUUGAAUUUGGUAAAUAAGUGUUUUAACAAUCAUUUGUACAAGAGGAGAACUCAACUAAAAAUGUCACUAAACUUUGAAAGGACAUGGAGGAAGAAAAUAAAAUCCAGUUAAAGAAAGGACAAGCUAUUUAGGGAAGAUCAUAAAGGAAAGUAGGGCAUUCUUAUUGCAACAGAGGUUACAACAGGAAAUGGGUCACUCCGAGAGGAAGACCAAAAGGGGAUCUGUAGGGACCGGAUGGCAGAGGUCACUUCAUAAUUAGGUCCAGCUCUCAUAUGAAAAUAACUUUCAUGAUCGAGGCAGUCGACUAUUUUCAUAUACCCAACAGCCUUUCCAUUUUAAACUUACACCUGCAAUCAGCUCUCCAUGAAGAAAAAAGUAGAGACCUAGAACAGAGCUUCCUUUACAAGAAAAUAUCUGUCCAAAUUACAACACAUAUUCCAACUGGAACUUGUAAUGUGCAGCAGAUGCUACAGAGAGUGUCCAUCCAUAUGUAUUUCAAAUAGUUCACAUCCAAGGAGAUUUCACGGUGUAGAACUACUAAACUACCACUUUACAAGCUACAAAUUGGAAAAUCUGUACCUCAAAUCCUGAGUUUGCUCCACAAUACAGAGCAGCAAGGUGGCGACGGUUUACUGCGCCAACAUCUUUUGUAUCAUCUAAGAGGACUAUAUCACCAACUUCAAAAAUCUGCAAACAAAAAAUGGAAUUAAGACAUAAAAUUUAACAUGCAGAAGUCACUCACAAAAUGAUUGGCAAAAGAAAUAAAAAUUCAAGGCAGUAACUACACCAAAACAGUAGCAAUGACAGAAAUAUGCAUGAUGGUAACAAGAUGAUCACACAGCUUAAUACUUGGAGAUAGCAAAGUAGUACUAACUAACAAAUGUCACUUAUAAUUAAAGCAGAAACUCCCUUCACUUGUUAAACAUACAUCUCCCACAUAAUUAAGCUUAUUAUAGCUUAUUUCUCUCCAAAAAAAUUUAAAUAGCUCACAAGGUCAGGCAGAAAAUAUAGUCUAUUAGACGACUUGGUGAGAAAUGCUAUUUUCUUACAACUGUCACUAAUUGCAAUCUUGAGCUUACUUCACACGUUGAAGCAAUAAAGUCAGUGGUAAAGUAAAUGGCAGGUGAAACCAUGCAGAAGUCAGUUGUCCUUAAUUACCUUUAUAGGCUUUGGAUGGUCCUUAUUAUGGCCCACAGUUCUCAAUAGUCCAGGCAUGAGAGAAGGCCGAACAACCUGUAAAGUAAGAGCUGUUUCAAUUACCAGCAUUUGAUACAUAACAAGAACAAAUAGGCAAAUAGAAGAAAGCUGCAACUAUAUAUAAAUUAAAAAGGUUUGUGGUUUGCAUUUAAUUAAAUCAAAAUCAAGGGCAACAGAACGAUUACACAAAGCAGCAUCUCUUUUAUGUAGGUAAUCAAAAAAAUUACUAGACUGGACAAAGGGGUCACAACAAAAAGGACUUUAUCAUCACGUACCAUCUAAAGAAGUGUCGCACCCGUGUUGACACGACGUGGGUAUGGGUGUGGGUGUGGGUGUGGGUGUGGAUCUGUGUCCGAUUUGGUCAACCAAUUUUGGGUACUUUGACCAAAAUCGAUGGGGAAAGUCUGGACGACUUUAAUAAUUUCUGUAAUCAAUACAAAAGCUAAGGUGAAAUUGAAGGAAAUGGAAUACCUUUUAUAUAGAAAUUUCUCUGUCACUCCUUUUCCUUUGAUCUCCUUCCAGGAUUCUCCUCAAGUUCAAGUUUUAUAAUUCAAGUUUUAUAGCUCCAUUUUUAGAUAUUCUAAUUAUUUUUAGGCGAAUUCUCGCACCCUUAUCCAUACAUGGAUCCAUAUCACUGAAUCUUAAGAAUUAGAUCAUGAAGGACCCGACCUUUAGAUCUGCACCCAAGUCCGAGCAACUUAGUCUACCAUAACUACCUCUGCGGAGUACUUUCUCCUUUUUCUAGGGAAGAGACAUGUUGUUCGCUUGAUUGCCUAGGUUUAGGCGUUUAGCUGGUUACUAGUAAUUGUCCAAGUGUGCUAGUAUAUUGCCUUUUUGUGUGUUAUUGCUUUGAUAUCUCACAUCAUUUGCAUAACCAAAGUCAAUUCUUUUGAAACAAAUCCUCAUAAUGUGUGACGUGCACACGGCCUUUAGUUGAGCCACCAAAAAUGGGCAGAAAGCAAAUCAGCCGCUAUCAACCAUGUGCCCCCCAAAAAUGGCUUGUCUGGUAAACUCCAGAUUGGGUCAGCCUCAAGAACAUUCUUAUUUGCAUCAUAUUGUUAAAAGCCUAACAGGUCCAGUGCCAAGUACCAAAUUACUUUGUAUGAGAUCCAUGCAAAUCAUGUCAAACAGGCCCAUGGCCCAAAAAGAUAUUUGAGGAUCACUAUCUGGCUAUUUUUUACAUCUUUGAGGGUAAUAUGGUCAUUUGGGGGGAAAGGACAUCUUAGCCCACCAAGACACUGCAUAAAGCAACUGAUAUAAACUGUAGUGUUUUAAUCAGCCUUCUAUUUAUCUCGUUGCACAUGCACCAGAUUUUAAAUUAAAUGUCAUCUUUUAAAUCAAGAACAAUAUUAAAAGUGAAAUGCUAGAUUUUCUUCUUCCUAAUUAACUAAACCAUGCAAUAAUGGAUUUCUGGCAGGGGGGCUAUAGAGUAGAUUGACAACUUAUUUUUGGGGGGACAGAGCAGAGUCACCUCAAAUUCAGACGUACGAGAAUCAGCAAUGGUCACAGCAGAAUUAUCCUCUUCACGGUUCAACAUGGAGAAAAUUUCUUUCUUGGAACACAAGAUCCAUGUUAACACCUCAGUAUAACCAGUCAUUGCAAUCUAAAUCGGAAAAGACAUUAAGUUAGAUGGGAAGCAAAAGUAUCAAAAAUAAUUUGAGAAUCAAGAAUGCAAUUAAGUAUAUAUAGGAGUCAGGACAACUUCACUAGGAAGAAAAUCUUAAGUUAGUUCUUUUUUGAAAAAUUCUUUGACUACCACAGAAUACUUCAGUACCUAAGCUGCAGUUGAAAAACUGAAUUUCACAUGGUCCAAGAAGACAACACCGAUAGGCAUCAAUUAUCCACCUCAUCAUUCUAUGAAGAUAUCUAAAUAGGAGGACUUCAAUAUUGAAGUCCAAAAUUCAAAAAGAACAAACAAAGAAGGGAAGUACCUGAUCAAAUAAAUAAAUGAAGAAAGGCUGUCUAGCACAGGAAGGGGUUAAAAUUGACAUAUUGAAACUCCCCCCCCCCCACAAUGAUCUUCCUGGCUAGAAGCGUAGAGCUGAAUGAAAGGCUAAAGACUGUUUAACCAACUCCAAAGGUCCCAAACUAUAGUACCAUUCCCGAGUACGAGUCAACAUCAAGAGAAGAAACAAUUUCAUUAAAAAUCACAUGUAGCAGAGACUACACAGGAACACAAUAGAAAGUGAUGCUCCCUUCGUCAAAGACAUAAAUGUCCAUGACUGCCAGAAGUCCGUGUCAGCAAUCUGAACAGCACAGAAGUAUAUAAGUACAUUACCUCUGUACGAAUAAGAUCACUGAAUUGACUGAGAGGUAAAGGAUUCAAAGAUGCAGGUUUUCUCUUUGGGAUCUCAUUGUAGCCAUAAGCAAUUGCAACAUCCUUCAGCAAAAGGAUAGAGAAGUUGAAUCCAUAUAAGAACAAAGACAGAAAAGCUAUGGUGAGAUGGUAACUAUAAGCAGUGAUGCAUCAAAACAAAUACCUCCGCUACAUCACAUGGAUGAAGAACGUCACUUCUUGUGGGAGGAACAGAUACAACAAACUUGACUUCUUUAUCUUCUGAUACAGAUUUCUCUGCACGCAAUUGCAUUUUAUGCAACAAACUAGCCACCUGAAAUGUUGUUAGGCGUCUAUAGAAAAAAUUCCAUCUUCUUUUCUACUACAGAAUAAUACAGCAGAAAAUGCAACACAGGUCCAUCACAUAAAAGCACAAAGAGACAAGCAACUACUGCCACAAAUUUUGAAGUAGCAUUUAAACAAUGUACAGAAAAUUCUGAAGUGGCAAUGUUAUUAAAGCCAAUAAAAGUACCAUUAGUGCAUGGGAUGUCCAAACACUAAGCCAGUGGAUCAAAAUCAUACUGUAGCCUCACGUUUGAUGCUACUUUCUAAAGCACAUCCGCAGACAUGGAAAAGCAAUUCAAAGGAACUACAAACUUAAAAAACUUUCUUGAUUAGGAUUAGUUAUUAAUAUCAUAAUUGUCAAUUUGUCAUGAAGAUAAGAUGAUAAAAUGAGAGAAACUACCGUAUACAUGAAAAGAUAUAAGAAUAGAGAAUGAAUGACAAAACUCUAUAAUACCUUAUCCUCUGGCAAUUGAACUCCAAUGAUGCCAGUAAUGUAGGACAAAGGCACAUUCAUGUUGUAGAUUGAAAGAUCGGGACAAACAUACGAUCUUCCAUCAGGAUAUGUAACUUUAACUGGUUCAACUUCAAACUUCCGCUCACAGUACACUGAAAACAUAGUUACCUAGAUACAAUAUAUUAAUUAUUUAGAGUCCCAGCAAACCGAAGGAGGAAAAGAAAAUGAACUUCUAGCUCCAACCAUCGUGUUCAGAACAAUGUUGGCCUUUGUCAAAUCUGUGGCUGUACAUUCUAUAAACACGUUCUUUGUUUUCAGCGAAAUGGCUGAAUGUGCACCAUUAAUGAUGGGGGGUAAAGACAAAACAGUCCUGCAGAACAAAGAGUGACUAAUGAGUUGUAGAAAGAUAGUGGCCAAACUUUCUCAAGAAUCUGCCACUCAACAAAAGCAUUUCGGGGAGUAGACAUAAUCUCGUCCGGAACCUUCUUUAGUCUAAUAGAAAGCACCUUAUAGAUUAUCUCAUAAGCGGUACCCACUGGCCACUAGAAUAAUAAGUCUAUAAUUCUUGAUCCUCAUUGUUCCUUCCUUAUAGGAAUGAUUAGAAUAAAAGAUGCAUCAAGACUCCUUUCAAACUCUAUCCCCUAAUGAAACUCCCUAAUAGGUGCAUUACCUCACCUUUAAAUGUAUCCGAACCCUGCCGAAAGAAUGCCAACAUGAACCCAUUCGCCCCAAUGCUUUACCCACCACACAAUAAAUCAUUGCCUCCCUCACCUCCGCUUCCCCCAUCUCUCUCUCCAACCACCCCUUCUUUUCCUCUCAUAACCCCAAAUGUGGUCUCCGCCAUGCUUCCUAACGAUCUAAAAACCUAAGUCGACCCUUGUGUCCCCUCCACCCCCUCGUGCACUUCCCUUCCCACUUCAAAGGAAUCUAUUGAAUGACUAUUUUCAGCUUGUUAUUCUACAAGAGAAUUGUGUUUAAAUUGCCUUCUUCCAACCACAACACCCUCGCUCAUGUCUUUCAACUAGCUUUUUGUUUCCAAACAUUAUUAUAGAUAAAAGUAUUAUUUAAUCUAAAAAGGUACAUAGGUCAUUAGGCAUGCAAUGAAGCAAAUAAAUGAAGUAAGAUAGCUCCAAACGGAACGGCCCAUUUGUAGACUGGAUACCUUUUACAAUCAUAUAUAACAGGGUACACGGGUGAAUUCUCGAUUAUGUGUAGAAACUUCUUCAGCUUCAAAUCCGACUGUAAAUCAGUGCAGUGAUGUGUUAGAGAUGUCCUUAAAGUGCAAAUAGUGGAUCUUCAAGAUAAUGACAAGAACAACAGUACAGAUGAAGAAUAAAAGGAUAAGUUGUAACUCACUUUGUAAAAUUCCAUCAGCUCAUCAGCUCUGAAGUUUUUGGUCUGAAAAAACAACCACAAAAUAUCAGCUUAAACAACACCAUAAGACAACUGCUAAAAUAAAACAAUUACCUGCUUCAAUGGCACAAAAUUUAUUUCAGCAGGAGGCAAAGCCUGAAAUUGAAGGGGACAAAAUUUAAACAUCCACCAUCUUAAACAACAUAGGGAAAAUAAUGCAGUACACAAGAAUCAGAUUUUUAAGGAAAAACCAGUCUGUUCCUCCAAUUUGGAGUCAACCAAAUACAGGAAUAACUUUGAAGGUUUAAAAAAAGGGGAAUAACUUUAAAGGAAGCUAGGUAUAACAACUUGCAUAUACCUCAUACGUGAAAGGUCCUUCAAUUGUAUCUAGGUCAUGGGUACCAAUUGCCACCAAGGUUCUUCGCCU